UAUUAACUUUCAAAAAAAAUACAUUUCACAAAUUACAGGGUGAUUGACUAAAAAUAGAAGUUCUCACGGACAAAUGAGCUACAAUGGAGGAAGGAAUGAAGGCAUCACCUAUGCUUUAACAGUCUGUAUGAACAUGAGCAGCAUAUUUUCGGUUACAAUGUACUCUGCGGGAAGCCAUCUUCGAUUAGGUGUCCGGCGUCCCCGAACUUCUCCAGGAUCCAGCGGCCAUCGGAACCAGAGACAUGGACAACGCUGAUUGAGGUGUUAGGAAUCCUGCCAACCGAGAUCGUUGGAUCGGCGUGCCUGCAGAUUUCCUCUAUGACUGCCUCAUGGGAGACGACGACCACCCGCUCACCUAUUAACGCAACACGCGACAGCUUCAGUUUGCAGCUUGAAAUUCACCACCAGGUGCAAGUUUUGACCACACAGAGAGCACAAGAAAUUACUAUGUGGAUCGGUGCUUACCUUUGUGCUUCUCCGCGAUUGCGUUCAAGCAGGGAACUAAGCGCUCGGAAAGUUGAUCAAGACUCUCCCCACCACCCUGUUCAGAAGGAGAUCAUGAGUAAUAUAUAGCAACCAACAUGGGGAAAGCACGCCUAGGCCUAGCUUUUACUUCAACUAAGACUAAGUACAACUUUGAGAGGAGAAUGGAAAUUAGUUACAGGUAUUUCUUGAUCUCUGCCACCGCGUGCGAAAACCUUGUAAGCUUCAGAUCUCUUGGCAUCGUCAAAGGUCCAACCUUGGAACAAUCCCCCGUGCCUUUCCGUCAGUGCCCGAUCAAUCACCAGCUGAAACAAACAGAAGCCGGAUGAUAUAUAGAACACCAAUAAUUCGUGAAGCGAGAAAAAUUAGAACAAACUAAUACUAGUAUUCAAAGAGUGUUCAUACAUCAGAAUCAGAUACGCAGCAAUGCGCUGCGAUCGUUUGCGCAGUCUCGGAAGCACGCUUCAAGUCAGAGGAGUAGACGGCAGCUGGCUUGGCUUCUUCCGACAGACGACGGGCAACCUUGAGGGUUUGAACAAAAUCAGAAUCACGUACAUAAUCUCAAGUCAUGACGAUCUCACAAAGUAUGGCGUACCUUGGCAGCUUGCUGCCUACCAGUUUCGUUCAGCUCCUGAUCGAUCCGUCCCUGUUGAAACUUAAAAUAAGCCUUAACACAUGUUGUAUUGCAUCGCAGAGGGAGAAUCAUAUCUAAGUGAUGCGAUAAGUAGCAAGCUGUGACAGGACAGGAUGAACAAGAAGCGACCUGAAUGAUGCGGGAGACGUUCCAAUCCGUCUGUCCAUGGCGCACCAACACCACCUCCGCGAAGUGCUCGCCGUGCGUCGACGCAGGUGCCAUGAUCGAUCGGCCGGCGUUACUGCUGCAGAGGGAAGGGGAGAUGGUCGCUCUUGCUGUAGCUGCCUUGCAGCGGUUCUUUGAAAUCUGGAACCUCUCUGAUCUCUUGUGCUGUAUGAUCUAGCUGCCCUGCAGAGGGAAGGGGCGACUUUAUAAAAGGCCAGGCACAAGAGAGGAAACGCCAGGCACAAGAGAGGAACGCCGCGGCGAACGCUAUCCAUCUCCAUGUACGCGACGCGAAGUAGGCCAUUUCCGAAGGGGCGAAGUAACGCACGCACGCCACCCUCUUCUUGCUUCGACUCCAAUGCAUCUCCAUGCCAACACGGCGGCGGGGUUGACUAACAAAUUAGAAACACGGUUUGAGCCACAACAGCCAUUCCAACAGCAGGUUGGUUUCCAUUCUAGCCAAGCCAUCCAUCGGACGUGUCUUUCCAACAGCAGCUUCCGGAAGGCUCUGGAAGGCUCUGGAAUCACAAGCAUAAAGCCUGCGCCUGGUCGGCGGACAAGCAUAAAACCUGAGUUGUCUUGUUCAUGAUAAGUACAAACCCCCGUGCACUUCUUCUCCACCGAGACCCCCGCGCCGGCCCUGCUUUCCCGUCCGUCCGAUCGAGCGGGUCCGGCCGUCCACAAGCAAGUUGGUAAGCGCAUGGAAUUUUGCAAAAAACGCCCUUCAGUUCUCCGCUAAUCUACUUCGGAUCUAGGGAGGCCCUUUGCCAACCGUAACCACGUUCGAUUUAUUUGCGGCACACCCCAUUGGUUCAAAAAUAUUUCAACACCAAGAAGAGAAAAUUCCAAUUCCACGUCGCUUUUUAAAAAAUCACCUGCUGGUCAUUUUGCGAAGAACCCCCAACCGCAACCGUGCCGCUAACACACGCUUGGUCUCGAGCCGCCGCCCCCUCCUAAUUCUCUCCGCAUCCCUCUCUUUCUCACCCUCCCGCCCUCCCCGACGGCCGCCGCACACUUUAGUAGGCAUGGUUAGUGUCUUUCGAUGUUCUUAAUGUCUGCUACUGGUUCAGAUUUAUUUCUUUCCCCUUCUAUAUUUAACUAGGUUUGGUAGUAGCUUGUAGCCUUGCCUUAUUCAACCUUAGCAUCAGUAAAUGUAGGUAAUGGAGUUAUAAAAAACUGAUAAACCAACCACUUCAAUAAAUUGGUGUCUUCCCAAUUCCAACUCUUGGUGCUUACACCAAAAGCAAGCAUCGGACUGAAAAUUUCUAAAAAAAUUAGCUUCAAGAUCACUAGCUACUGUAUUUCGAUCAUUUGAUUUCUUUUCCUUUUUUUUGCAAAAGACCAUUUGAUUUCUUGAUGGUGAUGAGUUAACUGUGUUGUGAGGUGAGACAAUCGAUUGCCUCACAUAAUUCCUGAUAUUUAGACCUUUAGUAAAACGGCUUUCUGAGAAUACUGUGGAUUGCUUCAAUUUUUACAGCUAAUACUUGCAAACUCUGCAUGUGUCAUUCAGACAGCUUGAUUGCAUAUGACCUCCCUCAGUAAUACAUUAAUUUUAUGACAUACUUUUCAGGUUAGGUUGGAGAAAAAGAUGGCAAACUGAAGACUACGCCAAUAAAAACAAAUUUUCAGCUUAUGCUUCAAUAAUUUUCUAAAUCCUAUUGUCAUUAAUUAGUUUGAAGAAACGAUGGGAUCUGUAACCUCGUAAAGCUACACAUUUAUAUGGAGAGACUCAAAAGACUUUCUGGUUUGCGCAUGUCAGCAGUGAUUAAAACAUUGCAUAGUUCUUUCUAUUUAUUAUCAUGUAGUUUCAACUUUUGUACCAGUUGAUUUGUCUAUGAAAUUAUGUGCACCGGAUUAAGGAAAGGUUAUGCCAAAAAUUGACGUAGAAAAUGAGGCUGUGAUUGUACGAGUUCGAAAUGGUGCUAGCUCAAUGACAACAAGACGUGAGCAAUAUAAUCUAAUUAUCCAAUUUCCAUCGGUGGACAUGUGAUUUCCACCAUCGAAACUCUAAAAUUACAUUAAAAAUUGGGCCGAAGAAAUUAUUACCCAGCCGUGGGAAGCCUGCGUGAACCGGUGAAACCUAAUUAUUACAUAUGUUGAUGUUGAAUGUGUUGCUAAAUCUUAUUAUUUGUUCUAUAAACAUGGGUCCAUGAUAUUGUGUAUUCUAUUUUGACCAUGACACACAUACAUAUCAAGAUGCAAGGUGCUGUGAUGAAUUAUGUCCUUGACCUCGAGAAGAAUUGUUAUCUUCGUGCAGAUCUCGCAAAAUCCAACUCCAGAAUCAUGUCCUUGACCUCGAGAAGAAUUGUUCUCUUCAUGCCUUAAGCUCCAGGACAUCUUUCUUGCUCCACUAUGUGGUUCUUCGUUAAUGCUGUCACACUUUUGAUCUCAUCAGAUGAUGCUUCACCUUAUUCUUGCGAGAAAAGAACUAGGAAACCAAUGUGAUUUUCUGAUUCAGGUAUCAUUCAAGUAGCUUUUGAGACUGUAUGUCAUGAAAGAAAACCAUUUGUAUUUUACACCUUGUUGAUCUAUGCAUGAUGAUAUCAGCACUUUGAGCUUACAGUAGCUCCACUACUACUGCUGAUAGAGUUUGUUAUAUCAGUCUACCCAGCUACCAACAUACCGACACAAAACUGGACAUUCAUAAAUUUAUUUUGAAAAUUUCAAAGCCAUCCUUUGGGACUUGGCUGUGGAAAUAUUGCUAUAACGCUAGAGCAUCACUGGAGUAAAUUGCCAAUAGUUCUUAAAAGUCAACAGCAGGUUUUUUCCCUUUUUAACUAUGUGGGGGUGUUUGGUUCCCAUGUACUAAACUUUAGUCCACUAUUUUGGUGCACUUUUAAUCCCUAAACACCCAAACAGGUAGACUAAAGUUUGGACUAAAGACUUUAGUCCUCUAGUCCACAAAACUGGACUAAACUAGACUAAAGGAUGGUGGGGACACACCUGCCCCUCAUUUAUUGCCCUCUCUCCCACUCGGCUCCCUCCUGCUGCCUCCCGCUCGGUCCCCGCCACCGUUGCCGCCUGCCGUCCUCCCUCCCGCCCGCUCUCUACCACGCGCGCCGAAUGCGGCGGCGGAUCCUGGCCGCACGGAGGCAGUCCCCCUGCCUAGUCUGCUGCGGUGGCGGUGCCAGUGCGUGGUGGGUAGACGAGCGACGCCCCCGGCCUCCACCCGCACCCGCUCCCCCUCAGCUCCGGGCGCAGCCAACGGCUGCCGCUGAGGGUGCCCCACGCGGGGUGCCUCCGUGCGAUGGCGGGAGCCUGCGGCGGACCUCCAUAGCCAUAGGGCGGCGGUGCUGGGGGGCUCGUCGGUGCUCAACCCCGCCCAUGGCAGUGGCUGCCCGUGGUUUGGGUUGUGUUUUGGGGAUUUUGAUUUGGCGCAAGGGAUUGAUCUGCGCCGGGCACUCAUCCCCCACCACCGCCUCGCGCGACGGAGGAUCCGCCGCCGCAUCCGGUGCGCGCAGCGGGGAGUGGCGCAGCGACGGGGAGGCCUGCGCCUUGAGUGCCAUGUGGGCACAGGAGCGGAGGGGAGGCUGGGAGGGAGCGCCAGAACCAGAAGUUGGCAUAGGGUUACUGGCAGCAGGGGUAUAAAUGUCUUUGUUCAACAGCAUUUAUGGACUUUAGUCCAUUUUAGUCCAUGGAACCAAACAGGGGUGGGACUAAAGUUUAGUCCAUGGACUAAAGGAACCAAAUAGGGCCUAACUAGAAAUAUACAUUGGAUGUUCUCACAACGGCUGUUCUGCCCGAGCCCUACAGAAGAAGGCACCAUAGAGUCCAAGAGACCAGCCCCCACGUCGCCCCCCACCGGGCCACUCGGGCGGCGACCACCCUCUAGCCGCCGUCAGCCACCUCCACCAACCUCUCCCUCGCUGUCGCAGGAGGAAACCACUAGUAGCCUGUGCGGCUCCCUAGGAUGGUGAUGGCGGGGUCUCUCUCGUCGCGGCGUGCUUCGGGUGGAACGCGGCAGCGGCCUCCCUUUUCCCGGCAGCAGCACGCUCGUCCCUGACCCGCGAUGCGUGCUUCCGUGGCCUCGACGACCGGAUCCGGUGACGUCGAGGGUGGGUCCGGCGAGCGCGUAGCGGGCCUAGCCGGGGAGCUCGUGCACCACAGUGGCGGCCCUCAGUGGUGGCGGGGGCCCUUUCCGGCGGCCGGCGUGUGGAUCCGCGACAUUGGAGGCCGAUGCCUGUGAGGCCAGGGCGGAUCAGGCGAACCCGUGGCUAGGGCAUGGCUCGGCCACCGUGGGCCAUGCUGACUCCCGGCGGCGGCGUGCGGCCACAGUACAGGGGCGGAGACGGAGGAAGGGGGCCACACAGGGAGCGGCUUUGGGGCACAGGCUGCAGUCGACGUGGGAGGUUAGGUCAGGCAUUCGCAGGGCUAGGGAACCCGUGCUGUAGUGGCCUGGAUGCAAUUGCGGCUGGCGCACAUGGAGGCCGUGAGGUGCAGCAGCGCCGGCAAGGACGUGCGGCUAGAGGUCGUGCAAGUGAGGAGGUGCGGCGGUGGCGUGGAGGCCACUCGUGUGGUGCCGUUGCGGUGGUGCGAGGAUCUACGCCGAUGGUGGUGGUGAGCCAUUAUCGCGGGAAACUUUUUGUGUGUGCACAUGGUACAACUGAGAUUUUGGCGGUGGCAAGGUGUAGGUGAAGUUAUUGGAGUAGCUCGGUGGAACCAUGUCACCUCCGAUGGCAAAGCAAGUCCAGAUCCUUGGUGUGGAGUCCAGCGGCGGAAGUGGCGAGACCCGUUCGCUUUAAUUUGGUGUGUCCGAGGAGUGGUGUGCGGCGGUGGAUGUGGUGAUGCCCCCACGCGUUUCGAGUUGCCUUGGAGGGUCAGGAUCCGGUGCGGCGUUUUGAUUGUUUGGUGUGUACGGUGCGGCAAUGGUGCUUCGGCGUUGGGUCCUACAGAGCAAUGACUUUUUCGGUGUGGUGCAGUGUGCUCCUCCUUUAACUUCUACUGAUACAAAGUCGUGGAUUGGGAGAUCGAUGACUGUGUGUGUAUGACCUGAGGACGACAGAGGCACGGUGGAGAAACCUUGGUAGCUAUACAGCUUGCAGCAGACUGCGGCGGCCAGUCCUGCAUGGCAGCGGCUGGUUCAGCGUGGGACAUCGUUGGGGAUAACAGUGCUGGCGAUAAGGGCUACUUGUCGGUUUUUCCUGCUGGGUGGUGGUGGUGUGGCGUGGUGGUCGCUGCUCAAGCUUUAGCGUUGCGUGGCUUGCAUCGAUGUCUCAAUCUAACUGGUCGUAGAGUUCUUUUUUGUUUUGAGUUGGGUUGAGUCGGCAUUUCUAUUGGGAGCUACUUUGGUGACUCUGUUGGUGUACCUAGUCUGGAAUCUUUUUUAUUUUUAAUAUAAUCCGUAGCUCUCCUAACUCGUUCGUUUCGAAAAAAAUACAAUGGAUGGUAUGCUGCACACUAAACUAGCCACUAGGCUGAUGGCUAAUGCUCAUGUUUCUGUUCUGUUAUAGCCACUAGACUGAUGACCUAUGAUCAUGUUUAUACAUAUGAGAAUUAUGACGGCAGUAAACAAUAAACUUUCGUGGCAAAAGAAAAGAAUAAAAUGAAGGGUCGUAGACAUGCCUGUUUCCAAUUUCUCUCUUGACAGGCUAACAUUGAUGAGAGGACUACUUAGACUCCCUGGUACAGUUCUCCUAGGAGAGGCCUCUGAAUCUGCUGAAAUGUCUAACUGAAGGACUCUACAAAAUAAAAGAGAAUGACUGCAAAUUUAUUUGCUGAAAGCUUGCAUCAAUCAUCAAUUACAAUGCAUUGUGUUAACAGUAGGCCAUGUUAGCUAUUAUGUAUCAAAAAGACCAAAUUAAAUUUGAACAUGAGGAUCAAGAAAGAGAUGAAACGACCUACUAUGAGCCAAGAAAUUAUCUGUAUGUUUAAACUCUAAAUUAUCAAACAAUUCUAAAUUAAGCUGGGUUACAUAAAAGGAAAAGGUGUGUACUCCAUAUGAGCAUGGGCUUCCUACAUUUAAGGUACCGAAUUACUGAUAAAGAAAACAUUGCAGAGAAGAGUGACAUAUACACAAUGAAACUGGAUCGCACAGAUGGUAGCAUGGCGCAGGGUAAGAAGCAGGCACGGAGUGACGUUUUUUAAAUUGAUUUAAUUUAGAAUAAAUACAACAAUAUUCUCACGUGGUAUCUCUGCUGCUGCACAAAUAAUAGUAACACAUAAAAGGGGAAGGUUUGAGAUAACGAGGAAUGGCUACCGAUGGAUGGGACUAAAUUAAAGUUAUCUAUUCUAUUGCCUCCAACUCCAAAGCAACAGGGUAGAAUCAAACACUUUACACUUCAGGGUUACAUUCACAACUGCCUAUGAGCAGGCAUUUACAAGCAGCAGUGCAAUGCUUCAAAUUUCAGUGUGGUAUUGUUUACCCACAGGAAUUUCUAUACAAGUUCAUUAUCAUUGCACUGACAAGUGAGAGCAUUGUAGUAAUGGAAGAAUGGAGGCAUGUUCAACCGUAUCGAGGACUCGAGGUAGCCGAUUGUAUUGCUGAAGGACCGGAAAGGCGACCGGAGGGGGUGAAUGGGAGCUGAUUCAAAUUUUCUCAAAGAACCUCGGCUAAAGUCCCAACAUAAUCCACAAAAUUCUCUUCUAGCAAUAUCAAGUCCCCUUAGCUAUGCAGGAGCUAAUGGAUGGACCUAGGAAUAUUGCUAGGAACCGAAUUUGAGACUAGCAGAAGCAAGAAAAAGCCCAAACAAGUAUCGGGAGAAGAAAUUCGAAAACCAACUAAAAUUUGGAAAAUUCCGAAAAAUCCUUCGGAAACUUCCGAACUUUCGGAAAUUUCCGGAAAACCUUCGGAAAAUUGCAGAACUCCGGAAAACAGCCUUUGUGAGGAAGUGGGAAAAAUCCAAAACUCGAUCAAACGACCUCCAAAAUCACGAAAUUUGAACCAUAGACUCACAACAACAUACCAAAGGUAUUUCCCAAAGGCUCAAGUCAAAAAGCCCAAGAAUUGGUAAAUAGAUUCAAAGGAUUUGGGAAGGGCACAAGAAAGGGGAUUUUCAGGGAAUCUCAAAAUUCAAGCCAAAUUUGUGAGGGAUUUGAGGGAGAUCACAUUAUAGAUGCUCACACGGGUCACAGCAACAAUUUCUCCUAACAAAUCUCACGGGAUUUGGGCUCAAACUCGAAGAACGCAAAAUCCCAAAAAAUACCUCUGAAAAUACUGAGAAAGAUAAAUUUUAGAUUCAAAGAGGAUGGAACAAUAUGGCACAAAAUUGAUCUUUGGAUUACUCCACCAUGUUCGGUUACAAGCCACUCCUAAGCACAAUCCAAACUAGGAUGACAAAAAGAUCAACUCACACCUCUCUCCCUCUGCCAAAGGCUCUCACAAAGCAAAUGAGAAAAUCCCCACCAAAACAACCAAAGGGAUGGCUACCCCAACCAGCCAUCUCUCCUAUAUAUAGGCAUCUGGAAAAUAUCCAGAAUGCCCUUACAUGAAGCACACAACUCAAAUACCCUCCAGGGCUAAAAUUGUCCAACGUUUUCCUCGUACAUCGGAUGGACCCGGCGCCUUCACGACUUCGCUUCGCCUCAACGCAAGCUUCGUGUGGUGUCACGCAUCCUCUGACUCGACGCCGUCCAGCCGCACCGGAAUCGUCCCCCGAUUUUGAGGCCAAACUGGUCAAACCCUCUUGCACACCCCGCAGGCGUGACUCAUCCCUGAUUUUGAGGCCAAUCCGAUCAAACCCUCUCGCAUGCCCUGCAAGGCAUGAUUCACCCCCUUGUUUUGAGGUCAAACCAGUCAAACCCUCUUGCACACCGCGUACGACGUGACUCACCGAUGUUGACGCGUGUCUGAUCUCCGCCAAGCCUUCGACGCCUCCAAGUCUUUCGCUCCUGGCUCCCGGGCCACCUACUCGACUCGCCUCCGUCCCGCUUGACUCGACCGACGCCGUCUCCAUCUCAUCCGUGUACUCUUGCUCUUUCGUGCACCAUGUGGAUCGUCCAUGACUCCGCUCGGACUCCUCGGGUCCCUCGGUCCAAACAUUCAUGCCCACCCUUCACAACGCUAGUACAUUGGUAUGAACCUUUCGCUUGACCUUCACCUCAUGCCAUCGACCGCCAUGUCGCAUCCUACACCUGCACAUCACAAGCCAAGAUACACAACACACAAGAUAUGUUUUAUACAAACACCGCAACACAACUCACACAUCUGGUUAGCCGUUAGCAUAAUCAAGUGCAUAUGGAAUAUGGACUCAACCGGUAAAGCCUCAAAUCAUCUAGUUAAUCACUCAUCACAAAUAGACCAAGACACAUGUCAACUUGGUCUCUCAAUCUCCUCCUUGAUAAGUGCAUUGACAAAAGAUGAUUUGAAAGCAAAAGAGAACUCAUUCAAGUGCCCAAAAGCCAAAUAAAAGGAAACACAAGGCAACUUGAUAUGAAAAAGGAUCAUGCAAGCUCCGAACAAAAAACUCUAGGUUCCCAAAGAAGAGACAAAAAACUUAACACAACCGAAGAGUCAAGCAAAAAACACAAGAGCUUCAUGAAUCCCAAAAUGCCAUCAAAGCCAUUUCAAUAUUUGUCAAACGCUCAUCACAAUUAAAUCAAGGUUCAUAUCAACUUGAUUUUCUCAAUCUCCCCCUUGAUGAGUGUGUUGAAACCAUUCAAGCACAAAGAAAUGGUUUGAGAGGCAAAAGUCAAAAAUCUCAUCCAAGUGAUCGAAAGCUAAGUAAAAACUAAGAUCAAAGUCACUUGAGAUGAGAACAACCAUAAAAGCCAAGUUGUGAAACCAAUUAGGCAAAGCUCCCAUUCAAGUGAUCGAAAGCCAUGUAAACGCUAUGAUUAAAGUCACUCGACAUGAGAAGCAUCACAAAGACCAAAUCAACUUGGAAAAGUCUCAGUUCCCAAAGACAUGGGCAACGGCUCGACACAACCGAGACAAAGAACACAUGAUCUCUCAAGAAGAGGCAGAAAGGGCUCAACACCAAUCAUGUGAAGAUCGAAAACACAGGAUCCCUCAAGAAGAGGCAGAAAUAGCUCAAAACCAAUCAUGUGACGAUCGAAAACUCAAACCAAAUGCCAGCUCCUCAAGAAGAGGUAAAAAGCUCAACACGACCGACAAAAGAGCAAAAGAGAGCACAAAACUAGCACAAAGCUUAGAAGCUACCCCUGAACACAUGCACUCCCCCUGAAAACAUGCCACAAUGAAAUGCAUGCACAAAAGCAAAAGAAUGCAUGCUCCCCCUCAAAUGCAAAACUCCCCAUUAAAUGCAAGACUCCCCCUUAAAUGUAAACAUCAAGAUCGUAUGAGAGCACAAAAUGCAUGCCAUGGAAUGUAAAACUUACCAAGCUUCUCAAAUAUAACACAAAGCACUUACAAAGGCUAGAAGUGAGAUAAUGCACAAACAAAUAGAUCAUAAAGAGCAAUUCAUCGCCAUCAAGAUGGNNNNNNNNNNNNNNNNNNNNNNNNNNNNNNNNNNNNNNNNNNNNNNNNNNNNNNNNNNNNNNNNNNNNNNNNNNNNNNNNNNNNNNNNNNNNNNNNNNNNUGACAAGUUUUGCAGUUUAUAAAAAGUAUCACCACCAUGAGCAAGUAUCUAGUCAUGUCAUUCAAGCAAGAAGCAAACUAGGCCAUCAGAGCUCAUACAAGGAAGAUACAUUCUCAACAAGAGAUCAUUGCAAACACCCACAUAUGCAUCACAAGUCAUGUCAAGGCUUGUUGAAACCAUGUGCCUACUUCUUUUUGGUAGACAUCAUGUAACAACUAAGCAAGCAAGGAUAUCAACAUUAAGCACAAAAACUUGGUGAAUUACUGAAUUUUUCUUAUCAUAAUUUUUCAUCAUUCACAUUAAACAAGUUACAUGAAGUGCCUUUGCGGCACAAAGAAUCCAUGCUUCCCCAAGGAAUGCAUUAUGGGCUAAAUAUUUGCAAUGAUACCUAAAUCUUUGAUCCAAUUGAAAAGAACAUAGAUUCCAAGUAGAAGCUAAACAUGGAGCUAGCAUUCAAGCAAGAGCAAUGCAUAAAUAGGUAGCUAGUCAGGGGUGAUAAGCAUUUCAGAAUUCAUUAUUCAAGAUUAACAUUUGAUUCAGAAAAGCAUUUAGCUCAACAUGGUUAUAUGACAAUAUCAUCAAGAGAAUAUGCUGCACAUUGCUACACAAUCACCAACCAAUGCACUAGCUCACAAAUAGCAUAAGGAAAUGCUAAGGAUAUAUAGGAGAAGCUCAUCUAGUUCAAAGUGUACAAGGUGCAAUAUGAUAUAAAUGCAAUGCAAUGCUAAAAGAGAUGGGGCUCAGCUCAAAAUCAAGAAAGUUCAUGAGGGUCAAACCAAUCUAGGAAAAGCUCCGUUGCCAAAGAAAAACUGCCAAGGAUCCCAAUUGAGUACCAUAGAAAGGAUACCAAUUGAAGGAUCAAAAAUUGAUAUCACUUGAAGAAGAUGGAAUCCAAUUGAAAGAUCAAAUGUGAUAACAAUUAAAAGAUCAAAAGCGGAUAUCAAAAAUCAAAGCAAGUCCUUGGUCCAAACUCCCCCUCGAAUGAAGCUGAACUCCCCCUCAACCAAAGACACCUAGCAAAGAAAAGCUAGAAAAAGAAGGGGUAAAAGAAAAGUUCUAACUCCAAUAAAAAAAGAAGAGAAAAUGCAACCUAAAGAUAAGGGAAGCCCAAAAACAAAAUAAAGCUCAAUUCAUGUCACACAAAGCAAUGAUGAUACCAAUGAGAGGAAUUAGAGCAUUGCAACAUGAUUCUACAUUUAUGAAUAAAAGAUUGGGCAAGCAAACAUGUCAACAAGGUGCGAAGGAUUAUACAAAGAUACUAAGCUAAAAUGAUACCAAAUGAACAAUAUACCAUACCCAAUACAAAGACUAAGCAAAAGCAUGGUACGAUGUUCAUGUGAAUCAUCCACCAAGAUAUAUUAAAAAGCUAGCAUGACAAGAUACACAUGAAGAUCACACAUGCUAACAUGAAUAGGUGGCUAGCCUACCAUGGUAUAUUCACAGCAUGAUACAAGUAUAAAACUUGCAAAAGAGUCCACAAGUGAAUAGUAUACACGAAAGGAAAAACUCACUAUACAAGUGUACAUCCAAACAGUGUGGAGAGCCAUCAAGUCUUGAUCACCUCAAGCAAAAGAUCAAGUCCCUUCGAGCUCAUGUCCUCCACCUGCAUCCCCAUACCUACACAUGAGGGGACAAAGAAGACCGAGUCUUGCAUCCCAAAGGGUUAGUAAGCAUAUACUUGGGAAUCCAAAACUUAGUCACACGGGUAAAAGAUGCACUCAACUUAUCAUGUGGGUUAGCAUGAUGCAAAUGCCGGUUCAAAUGAGAUGAUUUUGAAAUACCCUUGGAACCAUGCCUCAAAGAAGCAACUUGAGAAGAAGAACGAGUGCUACCACUAGCAAAAAGACAAUGAUCCCCCGGGGUCUUAAGAGAAGAACCAACACAAGCACCAUGAGAACCAUGGCGUGGACCAACAUAAGAAUAACUAGAAGCAUGUCCACGAGCAUGACCUAACUCACUAGAAAAGUAGUCAUAAAACCCAUCAAUGAAAUGUGGCUUCUUACUAGGCUCACAAGUGCUCAUGCCAUGAGAUGGGCUAUGAACAACCAAAGGCCUAGAAACACGAGUUCGUCACAUUUGUCUUGCAUGACGAUAACAAAAGCUAUCUUGAUGCCCAUCUUUCUCAUAAUAGGAGCAAUGGUACAAAGGCCUUUUUGUAGGCACGGUCCGAGAGGAUGAAUCAUCAUUCUCAUUCAAGUGAGAAAUCCCUUGGGACUUAGAGCAAAAAGCAUCAACAACACCAUUUGACUUGGUGCCCAACAUUAGGUUCACACGUGCCAUGGGAAAGGCUACAUGGCUUUCUAAAAGCUUUGGCACGCACACAUCGCUCAUGCUUGAUAUGGCGAAAACAAAACUCAAUGGUAUGCCCAUCUUACAAAAGGUGCAAUGAAACUUUGGUUUGGGAGUAUGAGUUACAAAAGUGUGAGAAGCACCCUUGCCACUUGAAUUAUCUUGAGCAAUACUGGAAGAAGCAACAAGCUUAAGAGUAGCUAUAGAAGAGCUAUCCAAAGCACUAGCACAAGUACUAGCAUCCAAAGACUCACGCUCAAUAGAAGAAAGCAACUCCAGUUGGGAAGAAGCAAUUUUGGAAACACCAACAUCGGAGUGAUAAGAAUUGCAAGAAUCAAAAGACUUAGCACUAAGAAUCUUGCAUCUUGUGGCUAAAACCUCAUUUUCAUGUUUGAGACGAUCACAAGUACCACAUGGAGCAUUUCUCAAAUUAUCCAUCUCCUUUUCAAUACACUUAGCAUAUGUAGUACGCAAGAGUUUAUUUUCUUUCUCAAGGUUGGCACUCAUCUCAUUGCGCUCAACCAACUUGGCACUCAUAUCAUCGCGCAUUUGCUUCAAAGUUAAAACUUCAUUUUCCAAUUCAAUGCAUGAUGUGCAAAUAAGACCGCAUGAACAAUCAUCAUCAUUCACAUCACGCACGAUAUCAUGAUUAUCACAAGAAGUAAGGCAAGCAUCAUCAUCAAGAACCAAAGAGCACAUGCUACAAGGCAUAGACUUUAUUUCACAAAUUUCAACCCUAGCAUGCUCAAUUUGUUCAACACAUGUGGUAUGAGUCAAUUUUAAGUCAUUAAUUUCAGCAAACAAAGACUCAUAUGAAACACAUGGCAAAGAAGCAUUAGACUUCAAAAGAGCAAUUUCAUCCUAGUCUUAUCAAGAUCAUUAUUCAAAGCAACACAUGAAUUACAUGGCAUAGAGGUAUUGGAUUUCAACAUUGCAUUUUUAGAUUUUAAAGCAUCAUAAUCAAUUGAGAGCUCAUCAAGUAGUCUUCUACAAGAUUCAAGUUGCUUGUCACCAAGAUAAACAUCUCUUUUUAGUUUCUCAUUUUCAAUGUGCAAAACAUCACAAGAUUUGCAUGGUAGAGGUAAGCUAGACUUGCAUGAAAUUAAAGCAUUCACAUUAUCAAGUCUAGACAUGUCCAAAUUUUUCUUAAGCUUAGCAAUCGUCUCGCCAUGAGCACAAAGGCAAGUGAACAAACCAAUUAUACCUUGGGAGAGUUUACCUCUACUCAUCUUGUGAAGCUUGCGUUGGAGAUCAUCUUCUUGAGGCAUCUCAUCCAUCAAAAGACGCAUCAAUGCCAUCACUUCAUCAUCCUUGUUUAGAUCAUCCCGCUUCUUUCUGCUUUGAUGUGACCACACCACCUAGGGACAAAGAACCAAUAGAACAAGAGCUUGGUGCCAAAACUCAAAGCACCGGUUAGGAUUAGCCAAAAACAAGCUCAAAUCGUGAAAACCAAAUCCGCAAGCAAAAGCGCUCUUUACCUUGUCGCCCCGUGGAUCACAAAGCUGAUUAAAGUUGUGUGAUUCUUAACCAAGCUCUAAUACCAAUUGAAGGACCGAAAAGAUGACCAGAGGGGAGGUGAAUGGGAGCUGAUUCAAAUUUUCUCAAAGAAUCUCGACUAAAGUCCCAACCUAAUCCACAAAACUCUCUUCUAGCAAUAUCAAGUCCCCUUAGCUAUGCAGGAGCUAAUGGACCUAGGAAUAUUGCUAGGAACCCAAUUUGAGACUAGUGGAAGCAAGAAAGAGCCCAAACAAGUAUCGGAAGAAGAAAUUUGAAAACCAACACUAAAGUUUGGAAAAUUCCGGAAAAUCCUUCGGAAACUUCCGGACUUUCGAAAAUUUCCGGAAAACCUUUGGAAAAUUGCAAAACUCUUGAAAACAGCCUUCGUGAGGAAGUUGGAAAAAUCUGAAACUCGAUCAAACGACCUCCAAAAAUUAGAAAAUUUAAACCAUAGACUCACAACAACAUACCAAAGGUAUUUUCCAAAGGAUCAAGUUGAAAAGCCCAAGAAUUGGUCACUAGAUUCAAAGGAUUUGGGAAGGGCAUAAGAAAGGGGAUUUUCGGGGAAUCUCAAAAUUCAAGCCAAAUUUGUGAGGGAUUUGAGGGAGAUCACAUUAUAGAUGCUCACACGGGUCAUAGCAACAAUUUCUCCUAACAAAUCUCACGGGAUUUGGGCUCAAACGCGAAGAACGCAAAAUCCCCAAAAAUACCUCCAAAAAUACCGAGAAAGAUAAAUUUUAGAUUCAAAGAGGAUGGAACAAUAUGGCAUAAAAUUGAUCUUUGGAUUACUCCACCAUGUUCGGUUACUAGCCACUCCUAAGCACAAUCCAAACUAGGAUGACAAAAAGAUCAACUCACACCUCUCUCCCUCUGCCAAAGGCUCUCACAAAGCAAAUGAGAAAACCCCCACCAAAACAAGCAAAGGGAUGGCUACCCCAACCAGCCAUCUCUCAUAUAUAUAGGCAUCCGGAAAAUAUCCAGAAUGCCCUUACAUGAAGCACAUAACUCAAAUACCCUCCAAAGGUAAAAUCAUCCAACGUUUUCCUCCUAUAUCAGAUCAUUGCUUACCCUUGUGCUUGUCAGCUAUCAUGUUCAAGUAGGAAACACAGCGCUUGGAAAGUUGAUCAAGACUCUCCCCACCAACCUACCAAAAAAAUGAACGGAUUAGAUAACUAGUAUACAACAACCACAAGGAAAAAUGACUGUCACUGAUUCAGAAGGAUUCAAGGUAGCUUUGGGAGGAGAAUGGAAGGUAGUUACAGGAAUUUCUUGGUUUCUGUCAUCUGAUGAGAAAGCCUUGUAAGCUUCAGGCUUGGUACUGACGGCAUCAUCAAACUUCAAACCGUGGAGAUCUCCCAUGUGCCUUUCUCUCAGUGACUGAUCAAACACCAGCUGAAACAAACAGUAGUUAAUUUAUUUAAAACAGCAAUUCGAAAAAUUAGCAUACAUUAUGGAGACAUGACAAGCAGUAAUUCAAGUUGUCCCAGAGGAUUCGUACAUUGGGUACAUGGCAAGCUAUUGCGAUAGUUUGUGCAGUCUCGGCAGCGCGCUUCAAAUCAGAGGAGUACACAGCAGCUGGCUUGGCUUCUUUGGACAACCGACGGGCAAGCUUCAGGUUUUUUUUAAUAAUUGAUAAAAUCAGAACCACGUAAAAGCAUGAUUCCGAGACAUAACCGCACAAAGUAUAACUACCAUGAUAGCUUGCUGCCUACGGAGUACCAGUCUCAUUCAGCUCCGGAUCCAUAAAGAGUUGAAUACCGAGCCUCGUGAAGGAGGAGAAAACUAAUGGAACAAUGGUGAGAAGGGACUUCUAUACUGAAGUCUGAAUUGCUGAUACUGUUAGCAACAAGCACCUGAUUCAACUGGAGGAGCCAUUUCAAGCAUAAUCAUUGAAAUCACAAAACAGUUUUGAAAAGAUCGAAUCAUCCGGAAAAAAGGAGGAUUCUCUUUUUCCUUCUUCCUCGGUACAAAUUGCAGGUGGAGAAGGACAGGGAGAGAACUGACCUGAAUGAUGCGGGAGGCGUUCCACGACGUCUCUUCAUGCCGCACCACCACCACCUCCGCGAAGUUCUCGCCGUCCUGCGAUGCAGGUGACAUUGCUCGAUGGGCGCUAGCCGCUGCAGUGAAGAGGAGAGGGACGGACCUUCCAUCCAGGUGCUUUUGUUCCAAUUGACUUUGGAUCCGAGACUAAAGUGUCUUUAGUCCCGGGUCAAAAAUGAUGCACCGAAGGCUACCGACGGAAGGGGCUUUAGUCCCGGUUGUAAAGACCAACUGGGACUAAAGCCUCCCCUUUAGUCCUGGUUGUAACUGCUAAAAGAUCUGGUACCGAUGCCACCCCUUUGUCCCAGUUGGUAAUUCCAACUGGGACUAAAUCUUUUGUUCCGGUUGAAUAGACCAACCGGGGCAAGGGGGCUUUAGUCCCGGUUGGUAGCUUCAACCGGAACAAAACGCCCUUCACGCGCCUCCUUCUCUUUCCACGUUAUCUUUCUCCUCACAUCCUUCCUUCCUUAUCCUCGCACAACACUCCUCUCCACUUCUUAUCCACCGACGCCUCCUCUCCUCUCUACUCCUUAUUCACUGGCACCUCCUCUCCUCCACUCUCCUCUCUGCGCUGCCGCCACCCCAUCCCCCUCUGCUGCCCCUCCCCUUCCCCCUCUGCUCGCCCCUCACUAGUAGUGAGCGACAACGGGGCGAGGGCAGGGUAGUGGCGCGCGGGGGAGCGGUGUCGACCAGCUAGAGGUGUCCCCAUGAGCUAAUGCGGCUGGGCAGCGGGUGGCCGAGCGGUGCCGGGCAGGCUGCAGUGGGCGAGGGCGGAGCGGAGGUGGACAGAGGUGGGUGGCGGCAGGUGAAGGCGGAGCCGAGGUUGUCGGUGGCGGAGCGGAGGCGGGCGGCGACUGGCGGAGGCGAGCAGUGGCGGAGCCGAGGCAGUGGCGGCAGGCGGAGGCCCAUUUUUUUUUAUUUUUUACCUUUUUAGUCCGGGUUGGUAAUACCAACCGGGACUAAAGGACGUCUUUAGUCCCGGGUGAAUGACUCAUGACUAAAGGACCUCCCCUUUUAUCUCGAAAACUUAGUCCCGGUAGGAUUUUCGUGAUCUAUGGCCCUAUCCAACCUGGACUAAAGUCGCAUUUUCCACCAGGGGCAGCAUCCGGAAGGCUGGAAUCACAACCACCUCUCUUGUCCUAUAUAUAUAAUUACCCCGUCCACUUGUCAUAUGUGUUCUUAAUAUUUCUCAUAGUUGACUGUAAUCUCGUCUUGGUUUAUUUAAGUUAGAAAGAAACACGGGAAGAGCAACAGCGCGUUAAUUGGUUUCUGCUCCAAGUCUAAAAGUCUUCCAAGUUUGUUGUACCAGAAUGCUGAUGAUUGCUAUUCAGCCAAGCAAACGAAACACGGUUGCAGAGUGAUGAUACAUCAAGUUCAUGACAUUUAUACUAGACCACACGCCCAAGAAAAUGCAAUGUAAAAACACGGAGAGGCGGAGGCGGUCGGCGGCCGCGGCGUGAGGGCAGAGACGGUGGACGCGGCACGAAUUGAAGAACCUCAAAACGCCGCGGCAAGCGGCAUUGUGGCCGUUGAAUGGCGGGGUUGUAGCCCUCAAGCCGCAUCCAACCAUCACCAAAUGCACUAUGCGGGAAGCCAUCUCCGGUGAGGUGUCCGGCGUCCCCGAACUUCUCCAGGAUCCAACGGCCAUCGGAACCGGAGAUAUGGACAACGCUGAUUGAGGUGUUAGGAAUUUUCUUGCCAACCGAGAUCGUUGGAUCGGCGUGCCUGCAGAUUUCCUCUAUGACUGCCUCAUGGGAGACGACGACCACCCGCUCACCUUUUAACGCAACACGCGACAGCUUGAAAUUCACCACCAGGUGCAAGUUUUGACCAUAUAGAGAGCACAAGAAAUUACUAUGUGGAUUAGUGCUUACCCUUGUGCUUCUUGGCGAUUUCGUUCAAGCGGGAAACACAACGCUCAGAAAGUUGAUCAAGACUCUCCCCGCCACCCUGUCCAAAGGAGAUGACUAGUGAGUAAUAUAUAGCAACCAACAGGGGAAAAGCAUGCCUAAGCCUAGCUUUUACUUCGACUAAGACUAAGUACAACUUUGAGAGGAGAAUGGAAAUUAGUUACAGGUAUUUCUUGGUCUCUGCCACCGCAUGCGAAAGCCUUGUAAGCUUCAGAUCUCUUGGCAUCGUCAAUGGUCCAACCUUGGAACAAUCCCAUGUGCCUUUCCGUCAGUGCCCGAUCAAUCACCAGCUGAAACAAACAGCAGCCCAUUUAUUCAUGAAGCGAGAAAAAUUAGCACAAACUAUUACUAGUAUUCAAAGAAUGUUCAUACAUCAGAAUCAGAUACGCAGCAAUGCUCUGCGAUCGUUUGCGCAGUCUCGGAAGCACGCUUCAAGUCAGAGGAGUAGACGGCAGCUGGCUUGGCUUCUUCCGACAGACGACGGGCAACCUUGAGGGUUUGAACAAAAUCAGAAUCACGUACAUAUCUCAAGUCAUGACGAUCUCACAAAGUAUGGCGUACCUUGGCAGCUUGCUGCCUACCAGUUUCGUUCAGCUCCUGAUCGAUCCGUCCCUGUUGAAACUUAAAAUAAGCCUUAACACAUGUUGUAUUGCAUCGCAGAGGGAGAAUCAUAUCUAAGUGAUGCGAUAAGUAGCAAGCUGUGACAGGACAGGAUGAAGAAGAAGCGACCUGAAUGAUGCGGGAGACGUUCCAAUCCGUCUGUCCAUGGCGCACCAACACCACCUCCGCGAAGUGCUCGCCAUGCGGCGAUGCAGGUGCCAUUGAUCGAUCGGCCGGCGUUAUUGCUGCAGAGGGAACGAAGGGGAGAUGGAUGGUCUUGCUCUAGCUGGCUUGCAGAGGUUCCUUGAAAUCUGGAACCUCUCUGCUCUCUUGUGCUAUAUGAUUGGCCAUCUGGGGCGACUUCAUAGGAGGCCAGAGAGGCCAGAGAGUAGAUUAUAAUUCGUGUACGUUUUGAAGAUGGAAAGAUGGCGACCUGCUAGUUGACUAAUAAAUUAGAAACACGGUUUGAUUUGGUUUGGUUUCGAGAGCAAUUUUGGUUUAGUUUGGUUUCAAGAGCAAUUUGAGCAACAACACCCAUUCCAACAGCAGGUUCGGCUUCUCCAGCAAGUACGUGGCCAACUAAGCUGGUCGGCGGACCAAAUUAAAGAAGCUAUCCACUUUCUUCUCCAUCAAGAUACCCUGUGCUAUAUAAUUACCCCCAUCCACAUCAAGAUACCCUGUGCUAUAUAAUUACCCCCAUCCACUUGUCAUCUGCGUUCUUAAUAUUUCUCAGAGUUGACUGUAAUCUCAUCUUGGUUUAUUUAAGUUGGAAAGAUAAUUGCCUGCUAUUUAAGAAAAAAAAACACGGGAAGAGCAACAGCGCGUUUGGUUUCUGCUCCAAGUCUAAAGUCUUCCAAGUUUGUGGAAUCAUUAGAAUGCUGAUGAUUGCUAUUCAGCCAAGCAAAGGAAACGCGGUUGCAGAGUGAUGAUACAUCCAAGUUCAUGACAUUUAUACUAGAGCACACGCCCAAGAAAAUGGCAAUGUAAAAACACGGAGAGGCGGAGGCAGUCGGCGGCCGCAGUGAGAGGUGUGCGAGCGCGAGGGCGGAGGUGGCGGACGCGGCACGAAUUGAAGAACCUCAAAACGCUGCGGCAAGCGGCAUCGCGGCCGAUGAACGGCGGGGUUGUACCCCUCAAGCCCCAUCCAACCAUCACCAAAUGCACUAUGCGGGAAGCCAUCUCCGGUGAGGUGUCCGGCGUCCCCGAACUUCUCCAGGAUCGAACGGCCAUCGGAAUCGGAGACAUUUACAACGCUGAUUGAGGUGUUAAGAAUUUUUCUGCCAACCGAGAUCGUUGGAUCGGCGUGCCUGCAGAUUUCCUCUAUGACUGCUCAUGGGAGACGACGACCACCCGCUUACCUGUUAACGCAACACGCGACAGCUUAAAAUUCACCACUAGGUGCAAGUUUUAACCAUACAGAGAGCACAAGAAAUUACUAUGUGGACCGGUGCUUACCCUUGUGCUUUUCGGCGAUUGCGUUCAAGCGGGACACAGCGCUCGGAAAGUUGAUCAAGACUCUCCCCGCCACCCUGUCCAAAAGGAGAUGACUAGUGAGUAAUAUAUAGCUUUUACUUUAACUAAGACUAAGGUCCCGUUUGGUAGGGCUUCUCAAAGUGCUUCUCCACCGGUUUUUGGUGAAGUCCUACUAAUGGGUCAAUUUCAAAACGGCUUCACCACCAAAGCCAGGGAGAAGCCGCAAAACGGCUUACACUAGAGAGGAGAAGCCAAAAAAAGUGGCUUCACCGGCUUCUCCUCCCUCUCCAAGCAUUAAGUGAUCAUAAAAUUACAUAUAUUGCCAUUGAGAAGCCGUUUUACCAAAUGUUUUGCAAAAUGGCUUCAGCUUCACUAAAAAAGCCACUCCACCGAAAAAGCCGAAGCCGAAGCGGAAAUUACAUAUAUUGCCAUUGAAAAAUUACUAUGUGGAUCGGUGCUUACCCUUGUGCUUCUCGGCGAUUGCAUUCAAGCGGGAAACACAGCGCUCGGAAAGUUGAUCAAGACUCUCCCCACCACCCUGUCCAAAAGGAGAUGACUAGUGAGUAAUAUAUAGCUUUUACUUCAACUAAGACUAAUUAAGUACAACUUUGAGAUCAGAGGAGAAUGGAAAUUAGUUACAGAUAUUUCUUGGUCCUGCCACCGUGAGCGAAAGCCUUGUAAGCUUCAGAUCUCUUGGCAUCGUCAAUGGUCCAACCUUGGAACAAUCCCAUGUGCCUUUCCGUCAGUGCCCGAUCAAUCACCAGCUGAAACAAACAGAAGUCCAUUUAUUCGGAUGAUAUAUAGAACACCAAUAAUUCGUGAAGCGAGAAAAAUUAGCACAAACUAAUACUAGUAUUCAAAGAAUGUUCAUACAUCAGAAUCAGAUACGCAGCGCGAGGACGGAGGUGGCGGACUAGGCACAAAUUGAAGAACCUCGAACGGCCGCGGCUAGCGGCAUCGCGGCCGUUGAACGACGGGGUUGUAGCCCUCAAGCCGCAUCUAACCGUCCACGGAUUUGGGCCAUUGAAUAGCUUAUUUUUUUUAAAGAACAGGAGGGUAAACCCCUACUGAUUAUAUAUUAAAUUGAAAGGAUACAAAGAAAAUGGCACAAAUCUAAAGAGAGAAAAUAAAAAAAAAGGAAGAGGAAGAGAAAAAGAAAAAAGGGAAAAAGACAAGCCUAGGAGUACAAGCUAAGAGAUUACAGAGUAUGUAACCAGACAUUCAUAGCAAGCACUAAAGCAGGGUGCGCUCUAUGGGGUAACAAGGAAAAUUCAGACAUGAAUUUCCUUUUGCACAAUUCCACUGAUGGAUUGAACAUCCAGUCAUUCCUAGUCAUCCAGAUGCUCCAUGACAUAAGAAUUAUGAUUUCCAUGAAGAAAGGAACAUGCUCCAUGACAUAAGAAUUAUGAUUUCCAUAAAGAAAGGAACAGCAAGCUUGUCCUUGAUUUGUUUGAAAAUCCGAAGGAUUGGUUUGGUGGUGAUAACUGAUACUCCAAUUGAAUUCCAGCAUGCUUUGGCAAAGUUACAUUGGAGGAAUAGGUGUGCCACAUAUUCCAUCUUUUGUAAUAUACAUAGUUCGCAAGUGUAGGAGUCAAGAUCCAUUUGUUUCCUUCUCAAUAUAUCUCUUGUACUCAGACGAUCUUUGAGCAAUAACUAGAAGAAGACCUUGUGUUUGAUCUGACAUUUAGAUUUCCAAAGUCAGAAAUAUGCUGGAUGGGUAUUCCUCUACCCAAUGAUAGCCUUAUAUGCUUUGGAUGUUGAAAACAUUGAAUUGCCCCAAAUGUAUGUACACCUAUCAGGUUCUUGUACGGUAUUCAUGCCAUCAAUGAGUUGUUGCAGGAUAUGGUAUUCAUGCCACCAAUGAGUUGCUGCAGGAUAAUAAAUUGUGAAUGUGCCUGGGUUGUUAGGGGUAAGUUGAAAUUCUGGAUGAAACUUGGUUAGUUGACAGCCGCUUUGAAGGUGAUGUUGUAGUCUUUGGCAAAUGAGAUAAGCUCCGGAUGAACCUGUGAUUGCACUGCUCCAUUCCAAAAGUCUUUUCAAAAGAGUACUGUGGAGCCUUCUGCCACUAGAACUGAAGCAAUUCCUUUGUAUGUAUCCAAUAAUUUGACUACAUCCCUCCAUCAAAAGGAGCCUUUUCUUUGCUAACCCAGUAGUCGACCAUUAGCAUAGUAAUUUUCCCAUACAAUGUUGACCCAAGGAGUGUCAACCUUGGAGAAGAACUUGUGCAGGAACUUUAGCAACAUAGCAUCAUUAUGUGUAGCAAGAUUGAAAACUCCCAAUCCACCUUGUUUCUUAGGCAAACAUACCAAAGGCCAAGCAGCUGUGGAAGGCUUCUUGGAGUUCAUGUCUGAUCCCCUCCAUAAGCAGUAUUUCCUAUAUUUGUGCAAUUUUAGCGUUGAUGUAUAGAAAACUACUGAUGAAGAGAAGACCGAGUUAACCAUCUCCAACUUGCCAACUUGACUCAAAAAAAGGGACAUGUUGCUUAACCUCUUUUCUAUCUUUUGUAUGAGGGGCAGAAAAUUUUCCAUGUUAGGCUUGGUGGUUCCUAGGGGCAGUCCCAGAUAUGUGAAGGGGAGAGAACCUUUUUGACAGUUAAAAGUUGUGGCAAGAUUCUCAAGAUUUGCUUCAGAAAUGUUUAGGGGUACUAUAGCCGAUUUACUAUAAUUGACCUUCAGUCCAGUGGAGGCAGCAAAGGUGCUAGGAAGGUCUUUGAGGAAUAAGUGCUGGUUUGGGCAGGCCUCCAUAACAAGUAGGGUGUCAUCUGCAUAUUGGAUAAUUGGAAAAUUUGUCCCUGCUCUUUCUGGAAUUGGUAGUUUAAGAAAUCCUUGGUCUUUGGCUCUAUUGAUGACUGAUUGAAGUAGGUCUGGUGCCAGGACAAAAAGAAGAGGUGAGAGGAGAUCACCUUCCCUUACUCCUCUUCUGAAGUGAAAGACUUUCCCUAGAACUCCAUUCAGAAGAAUUGAAGAUGUGUCUGAUCCUAGUAUGUCUUUGAUCCAAUUAAUCCAUCUAUCCCCGAAGCCUUGUGUUUUAGAAUUUGUAGAAUGUUCUGAUGUUCCAUCUUAUCAAAGGCUUUUCCAAAGUCUAGUUUCAGAAUCACUAAUUCUCUUUUAGAGGCCUUGCAGAUAUGUAGAUAUUCAAUGACCCAAGCCAGAUAGUCGUGUAUAGAUCUUGAUCUAAUAAAACCAUAUUGAUUUUUGUGGAUGAAUCUUAGGAUGACCUGCUGUAGCCUGUCUACAAGUAGCUUGGUGAGUAGCUUAAUUGUGGAGUUCAGGAGGGAAAUUGGUCCAAAGUCUCCAACUAAGGAUGGACAGUUCUUCUUGGGGAUCAGGAUGAUGUAUGAAGCAUUGAUGCUUCUUAGACAUAUAUUUCCUUCAAAAAAAAUCCUCACGGAGUUUGUAGAAGUCUUGAGAAAUUAGGUUCCAGCACUUCUUUAGGAACUCUACAUUAAAGCCAUUAGGUCUUGGGGACUUGUUGUUAGGGAGCUCUGUAAUUAUCUUAUUAAUUUCUUCUUAGGUAAAUGGACUUUCUAACCAGUCCAUAUUGUUGUCAACCCGAAGUAGAGAGUCAAGGUCAAAGUACAUGUGUGUAAACUUUGAGGUUCCUAUUCUUCCUUUAUAAGCGUUCCAGAGCAUUGCUGCCUUGGCUUCAUGGUCAAACACCUCACUUCUAGAAUCAUCUGUCAGAGAGGUAAUAGUGUUCUUCCUGUGUCUGAUCGACGCAUUGGCAUGGAAAAACUGAGUACACUUGAUGGGUCCAUAGACCCGGGGUUCCCAAUGGGCCUGCUUUUGCACAACACCUGGCCCAACGAGAGGUGCAGUGAUAAUGCACGCCUGGGCCGGCCCAAAUACGUGACGCCAGGCCGAGACCAUGAUCCAGCCACCGACCUGCAAUUCCGACUAGGAGGCCUGGUCGACGCCCCGACCAGAAGGCCUGGUCGGGGGCGGGACCACAGUCCGACUCCGACCAAGUUCCCCCAACUAGGGACACGCCAGACCUACGCAUACCACUCCUUCCCGACUGGCACGGUCGGGACUAUGGCGGAACUACCCAAAUUAACCUGACUAAAAUGCACUUAAGUCAUCUGACACGCGAUCAUGCACUUUAACCAAGUCAACUUGGUCAUCCGUUGGAUUUCAUCCGAUAAACCACUUACUCAGGAUCGAGAAGCAUUGCUCACAUGAAGGUGAGUGGCACAAAGAUUACAACAUUCCUAUCACAUUAACAUAGUUUGGAAGGUUGUAAACAACGAAGAAGUAAAACAAGCGGAAGCUACCCGACGAUACAUAAUACCAUGGAGAAGCCGACCAUGAUAUCAAUGACCCCUGUCCUCGCCAUCCGAGGAGGGAUCCCACUCGACUAUCCAACCCGGAGGGAGCUGGGUAGGCCAAGUGGUGCCAGCAGCCAAACUAUCGACAUUACCUGAAAAGUUAUGCCACAAGCAAGGCUGAGCAACUAAUACUCAGCAAGACUAACCUAAUAGGUGAUAACUAUUCACCGACUCCUAGACAUGCAAAACUUUUUGGUUGUGGGUUUGUUUUUGCCAAAACACCUAAAGUUGUCCUUACUUUCAACAUUUUAGCUCAAGUUCUAUGUUCAUUAACCAGACUAGAUUAGCAACUUAUACUAAACAAGCAUAGUUUCCAAACAAUUAAAGAACAAGCAUCAAGAUUAAAGUCAUCAUCAUAUUCCUUCUUUACUCAGUGCAGAAUAACGAUCAAGCAGUCCCAAACUAUGAGAGGCAGAUGAAUUAAUUUGAAUUUAUUAACCAUGCAUGGAGAACCUAAUCUCACGACAUCCGCGCACCACGAAGGGUCGCUUCACUUGUCAGCCGUCCCCAUCGAUCCCUAUGCACGUGUCAGGGCCAAACUUCCCUGGCAUGCAAUGCUGCACAGUCCCGGUCUCUUGUCGUACUGUGACGGCACUUGCACCCACAUGAUGCACCAUGGGAACCUCGUUCCAGGGACAGCAGGAGUAUAAGACACGCCCCAGUUCAAUCAGGUACUAGGCUUCCCUAUCCCAUACUAGGUAUGAGAUUAGUACUUUCAAACACUUGAUCAUGAACGCUGACAUGUUUUGACCUUAGCAAGUUCAUUACUAGACAGACAGGGCAAACCACCACAUUGGAACCAUUCCCGGUCCCGUCCGUCAUCCUUAUAGUUGUAGUAUGAGAAAACAAACAACUCCUAUAACUCGCGAGUGACAGGCAAUCACUCGACUUUUGCCAAGUCCUAUUUAGCACAACAACUACUCGACCUUAGCAACUAGUGUUCAGAUCAAAGGUACUAAAUUCAUGCAUCUACAGUUUCAAUCAACUCCUACAAACGUAAAUGCACAAUCAUAAUCAUCAAUAUAUUGCAUAAAUUUAAAACAGGGAAGCAUGCACCGGGGCUUGCCUUCAGGUUUAGAAAAAUUUAGCGGGUCUUCGGGGUCUUGAUCUAGCUCGGGCUCAACUUCCGUGUGAUGUAGCUCUGCGGCGUGUUCCUCUUCCAGUGUAGGGUGGAGCUCGUAGGUUCCGUCAGCGAUAUUAGCUUCUACACGACAUGCACAUGCAGAGAGUUCAAUUUUUCAUGCUUUCAUACGAAUGAUGUAAGACAUGACUUAUUGCUGAAAUGAAAGUUGCAUUUCGACCACAUUCACCUAAACAAGGUUUCAAAUUUCGUUACCUUCAUGAAGUAAGGUGUGUUGUGGUUUAAAACUAAGGGUUGACUUUGAUGGUGAUUGUGUACAUAUAUAAGAUUUCAUAACUUAGACUUCACAAGGAAAGUGAGGGUCGCUUUUAGGAUUGUUCGGGUUUCAUUUGGAAAGUCAUUUAUUUCUGAAUGUUUUUAUUGUACCUCUUCCAAAAAUCACCAAUUAAGUUUACUAGGACUUAACAUUUCCUUACUCAUUUAAACCGAUUCCUCAUCCAAAAUUUGUUUCCACAAACCAACACUAGCAUAUGACAUUGAGAAAUGAGCAGUACCUCACUCAUGUCAUCAAUGAGUUACUGUAAAAAUUUGGGAUCCAUUGAAUUAGCACAAAAAGAAUUAAAAUUACUUUAUUACCCAAGGGUAGCAUGCACUUAACCAUUUUUAUCUCAAAACCUACAGUGAUUCCGAGGGUGAAACUUUAACAGUGGGUUGAAGGUGUGUUAUAGAGACUUUGGUGAAUUUUUCAUGAUUUGUGGUGAAGGACAACUAUUUCCCAUAUUUUACUCCUAUUAUCUUGAUCUAAAAAGGAAAGUGGGUUUCAUCAAGCUUUAGUCAAGGUUUCAUAUUUUCCAUGUGAACUAAGCUUCAAAACUAAGCUACUCCAAGUGAUUUCAUAUUUUUCUCAGCUCUAGAUUAAAACUUAUGCAAAAAGAAAGAUUUAACCCUAGAUUUCAAAUAUAAAGCUAAAACAGUGAGUUAAAGUUCUACUCCAGGGUCUUCACUAUUUUUCCAAGCUUCCAUACUUAGAAACAUACACCAUAGAGUUGGAUUUAUCUUUUUAGUAUUUUUCUUUGAUUUACUAUGAUUUAAAAGGCCUAAGCAAGAAAUGAAACUAUAGGGUCUUAUUUCCAACAGUAACAUGGGCAAGAUUAUUUUUGUAUGAAACUGGAUAGUUCACUAAGUCCAACAAAAUUUAUUUGGCAUUUUCUAAUUUUUCUACGAUUUAUGGUGCAUUUACAAAGUUUAUUCUAUUUUCUAUCAAUUUAAAACAAUUAACCGAAAGAACUUACAAUCUAACCCUCGCGUCUAAGGUUUAAUCGUGCAGUGUUCUCUAGUUCUUGUGCUAAGGCCCCUAGAAAAAGAUAAAAGACACAGGGAGGCCCCUAGCGGCGGCCGUCGCCGAUCUUCGCCCGAUUUCGGCGAUGCAAGGCUUGGGCCUGGGCAAGAAGCUAUUGGGGAGAAGCGCGUUCUCACCUAGGGUCAAUUGGCGGCGGUUAGGACGUCGGAGAGGGCUCGGUGAAGGCGGAACGCCGUGGGGACGAGGAGCGGGUCGUGGCGAUGGUCCUCAAGGUGUUCCGGUGCCGGUAGUGCUCCGGGAGGGCAAUGGGCAGCUCGGGGACGUGCGUGGUGGAGCGGCGGAGCGAGCGGCGGUCUCGAUGGGGCGCGGGGCGGCACGGAGGUGGGGCUCCACGGGAGACCCGAGCGGCAGCCCAAGGAAAAUAGGGGAGCGGUGGUGCUAGAGCUAGCGGAGGGCGGUGUAGGCGGCACCAUAAGUCCUUUUAUAGGGCCAGGGGGAGCGGCGGGUCGAGGCGGGGCUCCGGACGUGGGAAGAUAAGAUCGGAGGGGCGCUGUGGGCUGCGGGUCGAAGCUCCAUUGGCGGCGGCGCCAUUGGUCGGGGUGCGGAGGCCGUGGGAUAGGAUCCCUCGGUCAUUGGCCUUGAGGGAUUCGAAGCGUGCAUGUAACAACCCUAGGUUAGCUAAACCCUGUUUAAACUUAAAUGAAGCAAUUAACAGCUGAUUAAACAAGUCAAGGGUCAACUUUGGCCCCUAAGAGCUUAAAUAUGUGAUUAAGUCAUAAGUUAAAUUUUUAUAUAACAGCCUGAAAUUUUAUCCAACUAAGAGUUGUUAAACUCAUCAUUUCUAACAACUUUUAUUAUAAGCAUUUUGUUUGAAAUUGAGUAGAAGAGAUCCAAAAACUCAGUUUAAAAUCAGAGGCUUUUCAAAUCACUCAAAAUCCUAAGUGCUGAAAGGCAUGAAAAAGUCCCAACUUUGGGGCUCUUUAUUUCAAAAUUUCUAAUAUAAAAUCAAGCUGAGCUCUAUACACAAGUUUUAGAACUUCAAGUGCUUAAUAACUUUGAUUUUUGGAGCUAGGCCAAAAUCUGCACAAAAGUUUUCAAACUUUAGGUCAAACACAGCCAGUUUGGUCAACACCGUCACACUCUGAAAAUCGUUCCAAGUCUGAAGUUUUCAGUUUUUGCCAAACAUUGAUGCAUUUUAUCUCCAAAACCGUUUGGAUUUUGAACAAAAACUUUAUGAAUAAAGUAAACUAGGGUGCUAGGCCUACAAGUUUUGUAAAGGAGGGUAGGGGCGAGCAGUUCAAAAAUUGGUAGUAAAUCAAGCCCCAAGACCGGUCCUCCGGCAUUUUUCGCGUUCCCGCCUAGCGUCAGAGAACGCACGCGCCAGAGCCCGCACCUCGCCCGCCGUGUGGCUCCACCUCACCGGCGAGCCCCGUCACCCAACCUGCGGCCGUGAGCUGACCCGACAAGCGCCGCCUCGCCUAAUAGCCUCGCUUGCCGCGACAGCCUCGACGCGCGCCUACAGUCGGUCGCACGCCCAGUCACCCGGCCCUCUGCUACGGGUGCAUGUCCCCGCACGCGCCGCAGACCGUCGCCGCCACUUCGCCCAACGCCCUCCCGCGACAAGAUGCCACAAGAGCCGAGCCUUGCCAAUGCGCCUCCCUAACAGCCCCGCUCAUUCGCGCACGCGAGCUCUUGCCCUAUCCUGCCGCACCGCCCGUCGGCGGCAAUGGCCACUGCCGAGCCUCGCCAAUGCGCCUCCCUAACAGCCCCGCUCGUCCUCGCACGCGAGCUCCUGCCCUAUGCUGCCGCACCGCCCGUCGGCGCCAAUGGCCGCCGCCAUGGCCGGUCCACCCGGCAGCACGCGCCUUGCCCCACUCUUCGGCUCCAGCUACAGACGCGUGCCUCGCCGCGGCUAUAAUACGCCCACCAGCCUGCCCGCACUCCCUUUCACAGCUCCGCGCACCCGCACCGCCGGAACGCCCACCUGAGCACGCCGCCGCCUAAGCUCCUCCAUGGAGAGCUAGCCUCCGCCGUGCGCCACCCCUCACCGGUGCCCCUAGCCACUUCGCCGCCACCUCGCGAAGCUGCUGCGCUUGCCCAUCUCCGCCGCCCAGACCCAGCCCCGCCGGAACACCAACGCCACCGCCCGCCGCCGCAGCCGAGCAAGCCGUCUCCGCGUGCUGCCACCGUCGGACCGCCCCGCCGCCCGCAACCGCCUCAAAUCAGUCGCAGGUGAGCCCCUGCGCCUCCCCGACCUCUUGUCACCCCAAUCCCGCUGGCUAAUCGCCGGAAUUCCGACCGGCCACCGCCGCCGGCCCGCCGAGGACUCGAUUGCAUUUGAAAAAUGCGAAUUAGGGGUCUCUGUGAAGUUUUGUUACAACCUAUGGGUGAUUAGUUGAAAACCCGAGGGCCCAACCGUAAGUCUACCUGAGAAAACCCGCGCGAGGACCUGUUUGUGUAUAGCGAGGGCAUGGUUGUGAAAUCCGAAAGUUUCUGAGGGCCUAGUUGCAAAUACGUUUCGGUUUAUAUUUUUAUAUCGGCAGAAUAUAUGUUUAACUUUGAAAAUUCACCAAAAUUCGUAGAAAAUUCAGCAAAAAGUCAAACCAAUUUUGCUAGACUCAGUAUAAGAGUAGUUUUUAAUAAAAAUACUUUUGGCACAUGUCUUUGUUAGAAUUAAAUUUAUAUGAUUUAAUCCUUGUUUAAGCUAUUUAAAUCAUAACAAAUCACAGAAAAAUGCUAAAAAGGGUAAAUCCAUUUCCCAAGUGGUUGUUUCAGAUAGUAGAAGCUUGGAAAAAUAAUUUUGGAGCCCAUCUCAGAUGUUUAAAUCUCUAUUUUAGUUUUAUCAUGUGUAUCUAAGGUUGUUUUCGUCUUUUGCAUUAUAAUUAAACCAGAGAUGAUAAAAAUAUGAAACAAAGCGUAAUAGGUCAGUAGUGUAGUAUAGUUUGUAGGAAAAACAUAGAACCUGAUUAGAAGCAUCAGAAAAACCACCUUCCUUUUUAGGGAGGAAUAAAUAGGGUAAAUGUAUAGAAAAAGAUGCCCUUCAUUAAAAAUUGUGAGAAAUUCACUAGAGGCUCUAUUUCACCCCUGGAACCUACUGUUAAAAUUUCGUGAUCAGUUUCAUCUUGGUUUCUGUUUUAAUAAUGUUUAAGUAUAUGCUACCUUAGGGUAAUUGAGUAAUGCUAAUUCUUUUCAUGCACCUCCAAUGGAUCUCAAACUUAUGCAGUAUCUUAUCCUUGCCAAAGUUAAGUUACUGGUAUAUUUUCAGCUUCAUAGCUUGCUGUUAAAGAUGGAAAUAAAAUUGCAAGAUGAGCCUAGCUAAAUGAAAGAAAGAAACCUUAAUUAAUGAUAAAGGUAUUUUUUUAGGAGAGGUACAAAAGAACAUUCAGAAACAGGAUAACUUUCCGAUCUAAAGUUUAACAAGAUAGUGCAUAUAUGUACACAAUCACCAUCAAAUCAACCCCAGGCUUGUACCACACCCCACCUUCCGCGUGUAGAUAAAGAAGGUGUAAAACCUUGUUCAAGUGAAUGUGGCCCUAAUAUAACUACUUCUUCAGUACUAACUCGUGUUUUACAUCCUAUGAAAAAGUUUGGGAAUUUUUAACUUGAUGCAUUGCAUUUCGUGUAGACCUGAACCUCGCUGACGGGACUUACGAGCUUCACCCGGCGCCAGAAGGAGCCAUAGCGGAUCUGCAGCAAGUCAGAGCCGAGCCCGUACCAAAACAAGCCGAGGACCAGUUCGCUAACUCCCCGUGUGAAGGCAAGCCCCAGAGCAUGAAUUCCUAUCUUUAAAUACCUGCAAUACAAUUGAUUGCUUUGAUUGCGCAUUUACGUUCUAGGAGUUGAUUAACACCGUAGAUGCAUGAAUUUAGUACCAUUGAUAUGAACACUAGUAUAUUAAGUCGAGUAGUUGCAAUACUUAAUAGGACUCGAUAAAAGUCGAGUAAUUUCCUGUCACUCGCGAGUUAUAUAAGUUGAUUGCUUUACUUAUGUUGCAACUAUAAGGACGAUGGACGGGGAUGGGCUUAUGUUUGGUACUCGGUGGUUUGCCCCGUCUGUCUACAUGAAAUUGGACUAAGGUCGAGAUUUGAUAGUGUUCGUGAUCAAGUAUUUGAAAGUACUAAUCUCAUACCUAGUAUGGGAUGGGGAAGCCUAGUACCUGAUUGAACCAGGACGUGAGCGGAUCGUUCCACUGUCUCUGGAAACUGAGUUCUCCCCUGAUGCAUCAUGUGGUGACAAGUGCGGUCAUAGAACGGCGGAGGCCUGGUCUAUAGAGCCUUGUACCAAGGGAAGUGGGCCCGACACAGGUUUGGGAAUUGAUGGGGGUGGCUGACAAAUGAAGUGACCCUUCGCGGUGCACGGAUGUCAUGGGAUUAGGUUCACCAUACAUGGUUAAGAAAUUCGAAUCGAUUCAUCAGCCUCUCACAGUUUGGGAGUACUUGAUCGCUAUGCUACACUGAGUAAGAAUGAAAGAUAGUGAUGACCUAAUAUGGUUACUUGCUAUUAAUUAUUUGGAAACUAUGCUUGUUUAGUAUAGUUGCUAACUUAGAUUGGUAAAUGAACAUAGAACUUGUGGCUAAAAUAUUGAAAGUAAGCACCUACAUUAGUCGCUUUUGGCAAAAACAAACCCUAGAGCCAAAAAGCUUGCAUGUCUAGGUGUUGGUGGAGUAGUACCACCGGUCGGUUAAGUCUUGUUGAGCGUAGUCGCUCAGCCUUGUUGUGGCAUAUCUCUUUUCAAGUGAUGUUGAUACCUCUGAGUUCGAUGCAAGUGGCACUUGGCCUGCCCAACUUGCUCCGGGUUGGACGGUCGAGUGGGAUCCCUCCUCGGACAGCAAGGAUAAGGAUCAUUGAUGUCAUGACCGGCUUCUUCAUGAAGAUCAUGCAACAAUGUCUAGCUUUCGCUUAUUUAUUUCCGCUGCUUGAAAACUCUGCAAACUUGUUGAAUUUCGGAACUCAUGUUAUAAUAAUUCAAUGCACUUUGUUAAAUCUGGAUGGACUGUUGUAAUCUCUGUAACCACUCACCAUCGUGUGAGUCUUGCUUUAUCGAUCCUGAGUUAAGUGGUUUAUCGGAUGAAAUCCGACGGACGACCAAGUUGACUUGUUUAAAGUACAUGAUCGCGUGUUAGGUGACUUAAGUGUGCUUUAGCCAUGUUAAUUUGGGCGGUUCCGCCACAGCGCAAGCGUGGCUUUGCCGCGGUCGUGGGUUGUGGAGCGAGGCACUCGUGCGGUCACUGUCCGGGCAUCGAUAGGCGAACGGAGCUUGGCCGGUCCGAGGCGGUGGCGUGGCAUCCUCUGGCGGGCGGAGCUAGCUCAAGACGGGGCGAAGGGCAUGCGUGGCAUCAGGGAGCGGGAUAAGCGCGCUCGCCUACUAGGCAGCCGAGCGCGCGAGUUGUUGUGUCGCGGCCGUCGGUUGGGCGACGGUGAGCUCGCCAGUUGAUGGCGGCCACGCGGCGGGUAGCGUGCGGGAACGCGCGUCGCGGCGCACUCUGGCCGAGGGCGUCGCAAGGUAGGGGGAAAAGGCUAGGUUUGGGGGAUUUUUGUUAAAACUUUUUCAAAAGAACCCGUGAAACUCCAAAAGUAAAACAUGUAGUCCUAACGUCCAGCUCCAAACUUUACAAAAAGAGUUUGCUUAAAUUCGAUAUGGAUUUGAACCUAUGGAUUUGCAAAGUUCGGCAGAACGUCAGCCUCCUAGGACUUAGACAGAUUUUGGUUUUGCUGUUUUUAAGCAUUUUGGCCAACUUUGGCUCAGAUUUUGAGUAGCUUCCCAUUUGAAUCAUGCCAAGCUAUAAUUGAAGGAAUUGUUCUUCGAUCUUAGGACUCCAACUCCUAGUAAGGACUUUUCUCAGGUUCAGUUCAAUUUUUAGGAGAAACAGGCUUGCCAACAUGCGUGCUCUGGGUGUCCUUCCAGACUUAGCGCAGAAAAGCAUUUGUGCUAGCUUGACUAUUUUGAGCGACAUUGACCAAGAUUUUGAAUAGGUUUGGUUGUGAAUUAGACUUGGGUCAGUAUAACAAAGUUGUAACACACUCGCGGAACUACAACUUCUAUUAGGGGUUUGACUCGAGGUUAGAUAUAGAAUUGUGAGAUAAUAGGUUGCAAAGUAGAGGAAAAACAUGAGUUCCAGGACUUACGUUAUUUGCAGGAUUUUGAUGUACUCCUGAUUUGACUCUUAUUUUUGACCUUCUUCCACUCCAAAUUAGCCGAUGUGUUAUUAAUAAAAUUUGUUUGAAAUUAAAAGUUUUACAACUCCUAUUUGGGCAAAAAUUCAAGUUUGUAUACAAAAACUCAAGUUUCCUAUUUAACCCCAAAAGGAGAUUUUUAGGGGCAAAUUGGACAUUUCACUUCUUCUACUUAGUGACUAAUGACUUUAUUAAGUAUAACUACACCUAAUUAAGGUAGAAUUGUUACAGGGAUCGACCAGGACAACUGACAGGGGAUGCCCACUUGGUGUGGACCCAGGGAGUAGGUUAAGCAGAUAAAGGAAAACACAAAGGUCAACCACUGUACAGAGGACCAUACCUAGCCAUGCCCUGCGCAAACGCCGCACAGUGCCACCGUGCAAUGUCAGGCGAACACUGUGCUACCUGACCGUCACAACGGAGCAUGAACAAGGAUGGAGUGCGAUGGUCAUACUGUACCCGGCGACGUGGGCAACGACAAGACUAGGCAGCGCUCGUACUCUCUCUCUCUCUAACUUGUAAGGCUGUCCCCUUGGACUAUAAAAGGGGAUGGGCCCUCUCUCUCCCAAAUAGGUGAAGCGUCCCCACAUCAGCGGAGACUAAAUGUGAUAGAAAUAUCAGUCCCAGGAGGCUGAUAACACAUUUAUUCGACAGAUGGUUCAAAAACCGUACAACUCCCGAAGGAGCGGGCGGGCAAGCCACACCCAAAGAAGAACUAAACCAAUAACGAUACAAAUCCAAGUUGCAGUCCAGUCGGACUCCGGGCUGCAAUCGGAACUAAGCGUCAGCGGAAGCAUUCUGCAAAAGCCAACACCACAGGCAGCGUUGGGUGCGGACACGACCUCCUACUCGAGAUCCUUGGCGAUGUAGUCUGGGUCUUCCUCUGAAGCAACAAAACAAGGGUGAGUACGAAGGUACUCAACAAGUCCAACCCCAUCCACGGAGGGGGAUACAAACAAGAGUAUGCACAGGAUAUAACAAGGAUAAGGUUAAGGUUCAUUUGCAACAAAGCUAGAUUUUCAACACAUGCAGAGGUUCAUUUCCAAAAGAGUUUUUGCAAAGCAUUUCCUUUAUUAACCGAAACAUUAAGUGGGGUUGAUCCUACACAAAGGAUCCAAAUUUUAUUGCUAUCGGACUCCCCGUCCGCCAUAGCUCAUGACACAACUGCCGGACACUUCCAAAGUCCAACACACGCCAUAAAAACCAUCCAUCUCCAAGUGCUAGUUAUGUGACCAAGCCGUAACUCGUCCAAUCCCAUGGACACAGCUACCCGGAUAGGUUUUAACUCUGCAGAGGUUGUACACUUUUCCCUCAAGUAGGGUACCGCAGUACGAUCACCUUAGUGCCAGUGCGAAUCCUAACAAAGCCAUUACCCACCUUAGCUAAGAAUGACUAGUCCACACGGAAGCAACCAAGGGGUUAAUGACAUACCAACGAGGUUGUAACCGGGACCUAAGUCACAAAGAUCUUACUCCUUUUUCAUGGGCUGCCGUUGCUCACUAGCUCACCCGAAGACUAACAGUUUAGCUAGUGGGAUUUAUGCUAAGCCGUUGCCGCAUACAAUGGAGUGGUUGCACGAAGGUUGGGUUAGGCAAGAUGACACAUUAACUUGGUCCUUAACCAUGACAAGAUGGAUAUCUCCCAACCUUGCUCAAGCACCAAGGUACGAGCCCAACAUAUUGGCAUUUCACACCUGAAACACCCAUCCAUCUCAUCUAAGCAUUUCUUUCCUUUACUUCCAAAAAACCCAAUUUCCCUUUUUAAAAUACUCACACAUUUAUUUUUUAACAAAACACAUUAUGGUCAUGACUGAAUUGAGUAACAAGGUCCUAAGCAUUCUAGCAGUAAUUAUCAUCCAAACAGAGCAAGUCAUAUUUAGAGAUAGUUAUAGGACAAGCAAGGAAUAAUCAUAACAAUCAAGGGGUGGCUAUCCAACCAUGUUUCGGCGGUAAAAUAAUAUGCAAUUUAUAAAAUAGGCCAAUAUGUUGUGUUUGAAAAACUAGGAUAAAUAUGCAUCAAAGGGUGAGAUUGGACUUGCCGUUCUCAAAGCCUUCCGGGAGUUCCUGCUCGCGGUACUGGUCCUCGGGCUCGGGCUCAUGGUCAAACUCCUCCUCAUGCUCCUCCUUGGGUACUCCACGAUCUAAGCACACACAAUCGAGCACACAAUAAAUAAAAGAGAAUUAAAAAUUUUCCCAUUGAGCUACGAACAGAGAAUGCGAACGGAAAAUUGAAGGAGUGAGCAUUUUCAUGAAAUUUGGAUAUGCCUCAGUGGAAGUAUAUGGGAGGAGGCCGUGAUCGAAUUUGGGAUCAAUUGGAGGAAGUUUGGCGCAUGAAAUGAUGAGUUAAAGGAGUGUUAGGGGCUUAAAUCAAGGUUUAGGACUAAACUGCGAGAACUAGGGACCUAUUUGUAAUAAUUUCCGAAAGGUGGAAGGGCGUAUCCGUGAGAUUUCUUUGAGAGAGGUGGGAGGGCUGGUUUGCAAAUAGGGGAAACUAGGAGGUUAGAUCGAAAUGGAGGCCUUCUUCUUCCUUGGGCCGAGACAGAGAGAUUGGAGGGGAGGGAAACCGGUGGGGGGGCCGGCCGGCCGGGCCUCACCGGCGGCAAGCUGAGUGGUGGGGGAGGUAGAGGGGGACGAGGGCGUCCCGUUUGAGGUUUCACCUCGGGCGGAUGGUGGCCGGAGAUGGGGCGUCGGCGGCGGGCAAAGGAGGCGGCGGCGGAGCUCCUGACAGCGGCGCACAGGGCGGUGGGGAAGGGGGUGACGAGCUAGGGGGGAGAUGCUGGUGGUGUGGGGAGGCGGCAGGGGCUCGGCCCCCUUUUUAUAGGCGGCGAGGAGGAGCUCGAUGGCCAGCGGCCUUCAAUGGUGGCCGAGAAUCCCGGUCGGUGGCGUGCCGGAGCGGAGCUCCACGUGGACGGCGUGGUGGGGCUGGCUCGGUCGACGAGGAGCACAGGAGGCACACAGGGGUGGUGGCCGGCGUGGCGUGCGGCCGGUGCUCAUCGGGCGGGGCCGGCCAGGCGCAGGCGGUGGCGUGCGGCUCGACGCGCGAGGCCGGGCGCGGGCGCGGAGCCGGACUAGGCGCAGGCGCGGGGCCGGCACGGGCCAGGCGCAGGAGCCGGGGCCGGGUGAGCGGUGCCAGGCGCCAGACGCCAGGGAGGCGGCGCUAGGGAGAGGAGAGGAAAGAGAGGAGGAGGGAGGAGGAAGAAGGAAGAAAGAGAAGGAAGGAAGGGAAAAAAGAAAAGGGGGAAAAGGAAAAGGAAAAAGGGAAAUCGGCGAUAGUUGCGGAAUUGGUCGGGCACGCGUGACGGAUUUGACGAGCACGCGGCUAAAUUUGCGGGGAACGGAAAAAGAUGAUUGUCGAUGUUGGGUGCCGGGAUGGCGGGUCGCCGAGAAGGAAAAGAUUUUUCGGGAGCUCAAUGGUCGAAAGAUUUUGAAAUAAAUUUUUUAGCGGGUGAUUUGAGUUAGUAAAUUUUACGGACAUUACAAUAGGCCAUACACAUGAGGCACAUCAAAAACCCUCUGAUUCUCUCCAGCACAUAGCACACGCUUUAAGCCCCCCGUCACUCUCUUCCACUUGGACCAGAGCACGACCGGGUCUCGGACACCCCCUUCUCACCCCCAACUCGUUUGUACCCCAACUACAAACUUGGAGCACCUGGGCUUAGGAAUACAGUCAACCAACUGACCUCGAACUGAACGUAGGUCACGUAGCCCGAACCAGUAUAAAACCUGUGUCAUUGUGUGCUAGGCCAUUCCGAUCUAACGCACGGCAAAACUACUAACAUUUACUUGUCGGCCAGAUUCCGCCCCGACAGCACUCAUCUCCAAACUUAACCCAUUUGAUUGUUCCUCUUUGCUUCCAUUAGAUCUUUUGUUGGUGAAGAAGGUUCUGUAAGUGAUUCCUAAUUAUGUGCCUAAAGAUCCAUUUUUCUAAGGUUAAAUCUCAUUGUUCUUCCAUAAUGUUCAGGAGCUGGAUCAAGUCUUUGCAGUUCCUGAUGGUAGCUGGUAAAUUUGGUAGUUGUGCUUUUCAAGCAUUUAACACUCUCCCCUUAGGUUCUUAAAUUUUGCACUUAUCGUCUUGGUACUAUCAAUUUGAGGGUUGGGCAAAUUCCAUCCAUGUUAUAGAACUAGCACAAAAUUCUCAUGUUCCAACCAAUAGCUUUCAAAUCUGAAUAUCCUAGGCUUAGGAACAUUUGUGCUUGCCGUGAUGGUACAUGGAGUGUGAUAUGAGAUGUCUCUGGACAACCCUGAGGCAAAGGAGUUUCAAAAAAUAGUUGUCCAAGCAUUAGAUGUGAAGAACCAGUCUAAUCUUUCCAGUAAAGGAUUCUGUUGCUUGUUUGUCCAGGUAAAUUUGCAUCCUCUAAAGGGCAAUUCCACUAAACUAAGGUUGCUAAUGGUUUCAUUAAAAGCCAGCAUUUCCUGAAGAUUACCCCUAGCUUAUUCCUAUCUUCUCCUAUCUUCAAGCUUCCUGAUGAGGUUGAAGUCUCAGCCAUUUUUCGUCAUCAGGCAUAUUAAUCCUUUUGAACCAGUUCAAAAAUGCGGUUUUGCCUUCUCUAGUACAGGGUGCAUAGAUAUUGGUUAGGAUCCAGUUUUCUCCAAUCUACCUACAUGAGAAUUAUACUGAUUGGGCAUAAUCAUUUUGAAAGUCCAAGUGACCACUGAACUUGGAACUGUUCCAGAUAAUGUUAGUCCCUCCUGAGUUACCCACUAAUAGUAAGAACACAUAAUCAUCCAUAUAUGCUGGAUAGAAAUUUUAACAUAUGUAAUAUCGAAGAAUUCUUUCUAAGUUUCUUGUAGACAUAGAAUAUCACAUUUGGAUUUACAAAUCUUGCUUUUGACCGCAUCCCAUUUCCCAUCAGAGUUAAUACCUCUAAUAUUCCACGAUAGAAUGACCCAAUUCCUUUUAUGUUGUCCCUGAUUAUAGAUGCUCAUUGAUGAGAAGCCCAACAAAUCGCAUGUGUAAGAUACAAUUAUCCACAGGAUGUCCAAACCGAAAUAAAUAAACAUUCUAAUUAAGAUAAAGAUCACCAGGAUCAACCACAUGUUCAUAAGGGAUAAUAAAGAAGUCCACAUCCCCAAGACAUUACAGUUUAACAAAAUCUCAACCAUUCCCAUCAUGAUACAGGAUAAACUAAUAAUGAAGAUAGCAAAUAAGAUCUUGCUACUUCUUGAUCUUCUUGCGUGAUUCCUCGGAUUCAAUCUCAUCGAUCUUCUCUUUGCUUUUCUCUCUCUUGGAGUUGAUUACCUUCCUGGAGGUCUUGUGGCUUCCAAUGACUUGCUUGUUCUUGCCUUUGUUGCAUAAUGCAUCCUCAGACAGAGCUUGUUGAAUAGCUUGUUCAGGUCCACUCUGCGGGAAGCCAUCUCCGGUGAGAUGUUCGGCGUCUCCGAACUUCUCCAGGAUCCAGCGGCUAUCGGAACCGGAGACAUGGACAACACUGAUUGAGGUGUUAGGAAUUUUCCUGCCAACCGAGAUCGUUGGAUCGGCAUGCCUGCAGAUUUCCUCUAUGACUGCCUCAUGAGAGACGACGACCACCCGCUCACCUGUUGAUGCAACACACGACAGCUUGAAAUUCACCACCGGGUACAAGUUUUGACCAUACAGCAGAGAGCACCAGAAAUUACUAUGUGGAUCGGUGCUUACCCUUGUGCUUCUCGGCGAUUGCAUUCAAGCGGGAAACACAGCGCUCGGAAAGUUGAUCAAGACUCUCCCCACCACCCUGUCCAAAAGGAGAUGACUAGUGAGUAAUAUAUAGCUUUUACUUCAACUAAGACUAAUUAAGUACAACUUCGAGAUCAGAGGAGAAUGGAAAUUAGUUACAGGUAUUUCUUGGUCUCUGCCACCACGUGCGAAAGCCUUGUAAGCUUCAGAUCUCUUGGCAUCGUCAAUGGUCCAACCUUGGAACAAUCCCAUGUGCCUUUCCGUCAGUGCCCGAUCAAUCACCAGCUGAAACAGCACAGAAGCCCAUUUAUUCGGAUGAUAUAUAGAACACGAAUUCGUGAAGCGAGAAAAAUUAGCACAUCAAAAAACGUUCAUACAUCAGAAUCAGAUACGCAGCAAUGCGCUGCGAUCGUUUGCGCAGUCUGGGAAGCACGCUUCAAGUCAGAGGAGUAGACGGCAGCUGGCUUGGCUUCUUCCGACAGACGACGGGCAACCUUGAGGGUUUGAACAAAAUCAGAAUCACGUACAUAAUCUCAAGUCAUGACGAUCUCACAAAGUAUGGCGUACCUUGGCAGCUUGCUGCCUACCAGUUUCGUUCAGCUCCUGAUCGAUCCGUCCCUGUUGAAACUUAAAAUAAGCCUUAACACAUGUUGUAUUGCAUCGCAGAGGGAGAAUCAUAUCUAAGUGAUGCGAUAAGUAGCAAGCUGUGACAGGACAGGAUGAACAAGAAGCGACCUGAAUGAUGCGGGAGACGUUCCAAUCCGUCUGUCCAUGGCGCACCAACACCACCUCCGCGAAGUGCUCGCCGUGCGUCGAUGCAGGUGCCAUGAUCGAUCGGCCGGCGUUACUGCUGCAGAGGGAAGGGGAGAUGGAUGGUCUGGAACCUCUCUGAUGCUGUAUGAUCUAGCUGCCCUGCAGAGGGAAGGGGCGACUUUAUGGAGGCCAGAGGCACAAGGGAGGAAACGCCGCGGCGAAGACCUGGGAUUUCCCUCGACAGCACCAGGAGGCCAUCUCCAUGUACGAUUGUUGCUUGGACUCCAAUGCAUCUCCAUGUACGCGACCACGGCGAAAAGGCCAUUUCCGUCGAGCGCACCUCCAUGCGACGGUGGCGGGGGGUUGACUAAAAAAUUAGAAACACGGUUUGAGCCACAACAGCCAUUCCAACAGCAGCUUCCGGAAGGCUCUGGAAGGCUCUGGAAUCACAAGCAUAAUUCGUGUACGUUUUGAAGAUGGAAAGAUGGCGACCUGCUAGUUGACUUCCAACAGCAGGUUUGGGCAACACGCCAUUCCAGCAGCAGGUUUGGGCAACGCCAUUCGAGGAUCGGCUUCUCCAGGAAGUACGUGGCCAACUAAUAUAACCUGCAGUUGGUCGGCGGACCAAAUUAAAGAAGCUAUCCACUUUCUUCUGCAUCAAGACCUCCUGUUAACCGGCCCCAUCCACUUUCUUCUCCAUCAAGACCUCCGGGGUCCUGCGCGGACCAUUGGCGCGGCCACGUCGCCCUGUUUUCCCGACGUCGGAUCGUGCGAUCCCGUAGGCAUGUGGAAUUUUGCAAAAAAAACCUUCAGUUCUCCGCUAAUCUACUUCGGGUUUAGGGAGGACCCUCGCCAACUGUAACCACGUUCAAUUUAUUUGCGGCACACCCCUUUGGUUAAAUAAUAUUUCAACAUCAAGAAGAGAAAAUUCCAAUUCUGCGUCGCUUUUGAAAAAAACCACCUGCCUAUCAUUUUGCGAAGAACCCCACCGCAACCUCGCAGCAACACACACUUGGCCCCAAGCCACCGCUCCCUCCCAAUUCUCUCCACAUCCCCCUCUCUCUAACCCUCCCGCCCUACCUGACGGCUGCCGCACACUUUAGUUGGCAUUGUUAGUGUCUUUUGAUGUUCUUAAUGCCUGCUACUGGUUCAGAUUUAUUUCUUUCCCCUUCUGUAUUUAACUAGGUUUGGUAGUAGCUUGUAGCCUUGCCUUUAUUCAACCCUAGCACCAGUAAAUGUAGGCCAUGGAGUUAUAAAAAAUUGAUAAACCAGCCACUUCAAUAAAUUGGUGUCUCCCAAUUCUAACUCUUGGUGCUUAUACCAAAAGCAAGCAUCGGACUGAAUAUUUCUGCAAAAAAUUAGCUUCAAGAUCGCUAUCUACGAUAUUUCGAUCAUUUGAUUUCUUUUCCUUUUCUUUUUUUUUGCGAAACACCAUUUGAUUUCUUGAUGGUGAUGAGUUAACUGUGUUGUGAGGUGAGAUAAUCCAUUGUCUCAAAUCAUUCCUGAUGUUGAGACCUUUAGUAAAAUGGCAUUUUGAGAAUAUUGUGGAUUGCUUUAAUUUUUACAGCUAGUGCUUGCAAACUCUGUAUGUGUCAUUCAGACAGCUUGAUUGCAUAUGACCUUCCUCAACAAUACAUUCAUUUUAUGACAUGCUUUUCAGGUUAGGUUGGAGAAAAAGAGGGCAAACUGAAGAUUGCGCUAAUGAAAACAAAUUUUCAGCUUAUGCUCCAAUAAUUUUCUAAAUCCUAUUAUCAUUAAUUAGUUUGAAGAAACGAUGGGAUCUGUAACCUGGUAAAGCUACCCAUUUAUAUGGAGACUCAAAAGACUUUCUAAUUUGCGCAGGUCAGCAGUGAUUAAAACAUUGCAUAAUUCUUUCUAUUUAUUACCAUGUAGUUUCAGCUUUUGUACCCGUUGAUUUGUCUAUGAAAUUAUGUGCACCGGAUUAAGGAAAGGUUAUGCCAAAAAUGGUGCUAGCUCAAUGACAACAAGACGUGAGCAAUAUAACCUAAUUAUCCAAUUUUGGUUGGUGGACAUGUGAUUUCCACCGUCGAAACUCCAAAAUUACAUUAAAAAUUGGGCCGGAGAAAUUAUUACACAGCUGUUUACCGCACUAAACAAUGAACUUUCGUGGCAAAAGAAAAUAAUAAAAUGAAGGGUCGUAGACAUGCCUGUUUCCAAUUUCUCUCUUGACAGGCCAACAGACCAACAUUGAUGAGAGGGCUACUUAGACUCCCUGAUACAUUUCUCCUAGGAGAGGCCUCGGAAUCUGCUGAAUGUCUAACUGAAGGACUCUAUAGAAUAAAAGAGAAUGUCUGUAAGUAAUAAUCAUCAAAUUUAUUUGUUGAAAGCCUGCAUCAAUCAUCAAUUACACUGCAUUGUGUUAACGGUAGGCCAUGUUAGCUAUUAUGUAUCCAAAAAGAUCAAAUUAAAUUUGAACCAGAGAAUCAAGAAAGAGAUGAAACAGAUGAAACGACCUACUAUGAGCCAAGAAAUUAUCUGUAUGUUUAAACUCUGAAUUAUCAAACAAUUCUAAAUUAAGCUGGUUUACAUAAAAGGAAAAGGUGUGUACUCCGUAUGAGCAUGGGCUUCCUAUUUUUAAGUUUUAAACCUGCUGAAUCAGAACGAUUUUAUGGCAUAGAGGUACUGAAUUACUGAUAAAGAAAACAUUGCAGAGAACAGUAACAUAUACACAAUGAAGGCGGAUCGCACAGAUGGUAGCAUGGCGCAGGGUAAGAAGAAGGCACGGAGCGGCGUUUUUUUUUAAAUUGAUUUAAUUUAGAAUAAAUACCACAGCAUUCUCACGUGGUACCUCUGCUGCUGCACAAAUUAUAGCAAAGACCGUCCGCCGCACGCGUACUGCUUCUACACAGUCCCGUGUCAUAGGCACACCGCACACACGUAUGGCUGCACUACAAAGCCGUUCCCCUGCCGAUGCAGAAGCAGCAAGCCAGCAUUAUUAGGGUAGAAUCAAACACUUUACACUUCAGGGUUACAUUCACAACUGCCUAUGAGCAGGCAUUUACAAGCAGCAGUGCAAUGCUUCAAAUUUCAGUGUGGUAUUGUUUACCCACAGAGGAAUUUCUAUACAAGUUCAUUAUCAUUGCACUGACAAGUGAGAGCAUUGUAGUAAUGGAAGAAUGGAGGCAUGUUCAAGCGUAUCAAGGACUCGAGGUAGCCGAUUGUAUUGCCGUACGAACAAGAGCAGAGCAGCAUGUUUUCUUGCCAUCGCCGCCAAAUGCACUCUGCAGAAAGCCAUCUUCAUUGAUGUGGCCGACGUCCCCGAGCUUCUCAAGGAUCCAAUGGCCGUUCUCACCGGAAAUAUGGAUCUCGCUGAUUGAAGUGUUGGGGAUUCUUCUGCGAACCAAUGUCGUCAUUGGAUUGGCGUGCCUGCAGAUUUCCUCUAUGGUGGCGCCAUGGGAGACCACAACCACACGCUCCCCUGCGAAUGCAACAUGUCAGCGCAACAGCGUAAAUAACGGUUCCAGUUUGGAGUUUGGAGUUGAUGAAGAAUUGGCAGCCAUAGUUAUGCAUCAUCAGGUGCAGGUUUUGACGGAGCUAGUAGCACUACUGUAAAUUGGACCUAGGUUUUAUCUGCUGCAUUGUACUGAAUACAGAUAGCACGAAGGAAUUGAGAAGCUAAAGAGUAAUCUGAAUCAGAUCAUUGCUUACCCUUGUGCUUGUCAGCUAUCAUGUUCAAGUAGGAAACACGGCGCUUGGAAAGUUGAUCAAGACUCUCCCCACCACCCUACCAAAAAAAUGAACGGAUUAGAUAACUAGUAUACAGCAACCAGAAGGAAAAAUGACUGUCACUGAUUCAGAAGGAUUCAAGGUAGCUUUGGGAGGAGAAUGGAAGUUAGUUACAGGAAUUUCUUGGUUUCGGUCAUCUGAUGAGAAAGCCUUUUUAUCGCCCAACAGCAGCAAUGCGUCAACCACAGUGUUAUAAAUCUGCACAUUGGGGGGCAAUCCUCUCACCCUCAUCUCCCCAAGCAAACUCCCAAUCGUCUCCAGAUCACCUUUCCUCCCGAGCCAGUUAACAAUAGAACCAUAUGUCACCACAGUUGGCAAAAAUCCUUUCGUGUCCAUAUCGCCCAACAAAAGCAAUGCCUUCCCAAUGUCCCCGCGCCGGCACAUUGUAGAACACGGCGUGCGGAAUGCACUCAGCUCCCCACCUCGCCUCAAUCAGCUUCAUCCCCUCCUCCACCCGCCCUUCCAAGCACAUCCCUCUGACCAUCGCGCAGGUGCUGUAGUUAUCCGCGCCGCCCUCCUCCGCAAGCAUUUCGUCAUACAGCUUCCGGGCAUCCUCCCAUCGCAGGCGCUCCACGAGAAGCCUGAGCAGGCGGUUGCAGUGCCUCGCCUCCGGGAGCGUGCUGUGCAUCUCCCUGGCGCGAGCGCACGUCUCGGCGGCCUUCCCUUCCAUCCCGGCGUCCGCGGGAGCGGGGUGAUGCGGGGCAGGAGCGGCGGCCGCGGCGCGAGGUGUGGGAGCGUUUAGAGAAAAAGGAAAGAAAGAAAGAAGAAUGGCUAGUUCAGUUGCUCGGUCCACAUUGGAACUGCUGCUUCUUCUCCUUGGUAGUGCUUCUGCUAACUUUCCAAAAAAAAAAUACUUCACUGAAAAUAAAAUAAAAGUUCACUGACAAAUGAGAGCAUUGUAGCCAUGAAGGAACGAAUUUACUAUAUGAUACGGUAGUGUUUCUAUUAACUUUCAAAAAAAAUACAUUUCACAAAUUACAGGGUGAUUGACUAAAAAUAGAAGUUCUCACGGACAAAUGAGCUACAAUGGAGGAAGGAAUGAAGGCAUCACCUAUGCUUUAACAGUCUGUAUGAACAUGAGCAGCAUAUUUUCGGUUACAAUGUACUCUGCGGGAAGCCAUCUCCGAUGAGGUGUCCGGCGUCCCCGAACUUCUCCAGGAUCCAGCGGCCAUCGGAACCGGAGAUAUGGACAACGCUGAUUGAGGUGUUAGGAAUUUUCCUGCCAACCGAGAUCGUUGGAUCGGCGUGCCUGCAGAUUUCCUCUAUGACUGCCUCAUGGGAGACGACGACCACCCGCUCACCUGUUAACGCAACACGCGACAGCUUCAGUGUGCAGCUUGAAAUUCAUCACCAGGUGCAAGUUUUGACCACACAGAGAGCACAAGAAAUUACUACGUGAAUCGGUGCUUACCCUUAUGCUUCUCGGCGAUUGCGUUCAAGCGGGGAACUAAGCGCUCGGAAAGUUGAUCAAGACUCUCCCCACCACCCUGUUCAGAAGGAGAUCAUGAGUAAUAUAUAGCAACCAACAGGGGGAAAGCAUGCCUAGGCCUAGCUUUUACUUCAACUAAGACUAAGUACAACUUUGAGAGGAGAAUGGAAAUUAGUUACAGGUAUUUCUUGGUCUCUGCCACCGCGUGCGAAAACCUUGUAAGCUUCAGAUCUCUUGGCAUCGUCAAAGGUCCAACCUUGGAACAAUCCCCCGUGCCUUUCCGUCAGUGCCCGAUCAAUCACCAGCUGAAACAAACAGAAGCCGGAUGAUAUAUGGAACACCAAUAAUUCGUGAAGCGAGAAAAAUUAGCACAAACUAAUACUAGUAUUCAAAGAGUGUUCAUACAUCAGAAUCAGAUACGCAGCAAUGCGCUGCGAUCGUUUGCGCAGUCUCUGAAGCACGCUUCAAGUCAGAGGAGUAGACGGCAGCUGGCUUGGCUUCUUCCGACAGACGACGGGCAACCUUGAGGGUUUGAACAAAAUCAGAAUCACGUACAUAAUCUCUAAGUCAUGAUCUCACAAAGUAUAUAUAGCGUACCUUGGUAGCUUGCUGCCUACCAGUUUCGUUCAGCUCCUGAUCGAUCCGUCCCUGUUGAAACUUAAAAUAAGCCUUAACACAUGUUGUAUUGCAUCGCAGAGGGAGAAUCAUAUCUAAGUGAUGCGAUAAGUAGCAAGCUGUGACAGGACAGGAUGAACAAGAAGCGACCUGAAUGAUGCGGGAGACGUUCCAAUCCGUCUGUCCAUGGCGCACCAACACCACCUCCGCGAAGUGCUCGCCGUGCGUCGACGCAGGUGCCAUGAUCGAUCGGCCGGCGUUACUGCUGCAGAGGGAAGGGGAGAUGGUCGCUCUUGCUCUAGCUGCCUUGCAGAGGUUCUUUGAAAUCUGGAACCUCUCUGAUCUCUUGUGCUAUAUGAUCUAGCUGCCCUGCAGAGGGAAGGGGCGACUUUAUAGAAAGGAGGCCAGAGGCACAAGAGAGGAAACGCCGCGGCGAACCCUAUCCAUCUCCAUGUACGCGACGCGAAGUAGGCCAUUUCCGAAGGGGCGAAGUAAGCGACGCACGCGACGCGAAUCCUAUCCACCACGAAGAGGCCAGAUUGCUUCGACUCCAUGCCAUCACGGUGGCGGGGUUGACUAACAAAUUAGAAACACGGUUUGAGCCACAACAGCCAUUCCAACAGCAGGUUGGUUUCCAUUCUAGCCAAGCCAUCCAUCGGACGUGUCUUUCCAACAGCAGCUUCCGGAAGGCUCUGGAAGGCUCUGGAAUCACAAGCAUAAAGCCUGCGCCUGGUCGGCGGACAAGCAUAAAACCUGAGUUGUCUUGUUCAUGAUAAGUACAAACCCCCGUGCACUUCUUCUCCACCGAGACCCCCGCGCCGGCCCUGCUUUCCCGUCCGUCCGAUCGAGCGGGUCCGGCCGUCCACAAGCAAGUUGGUAAGCGCAUGGAAUUUUGCAAAAAACGCCCUUCAGUUCUCCGCUAAUCUACUUCGGAUCUAGGGAGGCCCUUUGCCAACCGUAACCACGUUCGAUUUAUUUGCGGCACACCCCAUUGGUUCAAAAAUAUUUCAACACUAAGAAGAGAAAAUUCCAAUUCCACGUCGCUUUUUAAAAAAUCACCUGCUGGUCAUUUUGCGAAGAACCCCCAACCGCAACCGUGCCGCUAACACACGCUUGGUCUCGAGCCGCCGCCCCCUCCUAAUUCUCUCCGCAUCCCUCUCUUUCUCACCCUCCCGCCCUCCCCGACGGCCGCCGCACACUUUAGUAGGCAUGGUUAGUGUCUUUUGAUGUUCUUAAUGCCUGCUACUGGUUCAGAUUUGUUUUUUUCCCCUUCUGUAUUUCACUAGGUUUGGUAGUAGCUUGUAGCCUCGCCUUAUUCAACCUUAGCAUCAGUAAAUGUAGGUAAUGGAGUUAUAAAAAACUGAUAAACCAACCACUUCAAUAAAUUGGUGUCUUCCCAAUUCCAACUCUUGGUGCUUAUACUAAAAGCAAGCAUCGGACUGAAAAUUUCUACAAAAAAUUAGCUUCAAGAUCACUAGCUACUAUAUUUCGAUCAUUUGAUUUCUUUUCCUUUUUUUGCAAAAGACCAUUUGAUUUCUUGAUGGUGAUGAGUUAACUGUGUUGUGAGGUGAGACAAUCGAUUGCCUCACAUAAUUCGUGAUAUUUAGACCUUUAGUAAAACGGCUUUCCGAGAAUAUUGUGGAUUGCUUCAAUUUUUACAGCUAAUACUUGCAAACUCUGUAUGUGUCAUUCAGACAGCUUGAUUGCAUAUGACCUCCCUCAGCAAUACAUUAAUUUUAUGACAUACUUUUCAGGUUAGGUUGGAGAAAAAGAUGGCAAACUGAAGACUGCGCCAAUAAAAACAAAUUUUCAGCUUAUGCUUCAAUAAUUUUCUAAAUCCUAUUGUCAUUAAUUAGUUUGAAGAAACGAUGGGAUCUGUAACCUCGUAAAGCUACACAUUUAUAUGGAGAGACUCAAAAGACUUUCUGGUUUGCGCAUGUCAGCAGUGAUUAAAACAUUGCAUAGUUCUUUCUAUUUAUUAUCAUGUAGUUUCAGCUUUUGUACCAGUUGAUUUGUCUAUGAAAUUAUGUGCACCGGAUUAAGGAAAGGUUAUGCCAAAAAUUGACGUAGAAAAUGAGGCUGUGAUUGUACGAGUUCGAAAUGGUGCUAGCUCAAUGACACCAAGACAUGAGCAAUAUAAUCUAAUUAUCCAAUUUCCAUCGGUGGACAUGUGAUUUCCACCAUCGAAACUCUAAAAUUACAUUAAAAAUUGAGCCAAAGAAAUUAUUACACAGCCGUGGGAAGCCUGCGUGAACCGGUGAAACCUAAUUAUUACAUAUGUUGAUGUUGAAUGUGUUGCUAAAUCUUAUUAUUUGUUCUAUGAACAUGGGUCCAUGAUAUUGUGUAUUCUAUUUUGACCCUGACACACAUACAUAUCAAGAUGCAAGGUGCUGUGAUGAAUUAUGUCCUUGACCUCGAGAAGAAUUGUUAUCUUCAUGCAGAUCUCGCAAAAUCCAACUCCAGAAUCAUGUCCUUGACCUCGAGAAGAAUUAUUCUCUUCAUGCCUUAAGCUCCAGGACAUCUUUCUUGCUCCACUAUGUGGUUCUUCGUUAAUGCUGUCACACUUUUGAUCUCAUCAGAUGAUGCUUCACCUUAUUCUUGUGAGAAAAGAACUAGGAAACCAAUGUGAUUUUCUGAUUCAGGUAUCAUUCAAGUAGCUUUUGAGACUGUAUGUCAUGAAAGAAAACCAUGUGUAUUUUACACCUUGUUGAUCUAUGCAUGAUGAUAUCAGCACUUUGAGCUUACAGUAGCUCCACUACUACUGCUGAUAGAGUUUGUUAUAUCAGUCUACCCAGCUACCAACAUACCGACACAAAACUGGACAUUCAUAAAUUUAUUUUGAAAAUUUCAAAGCCAUCCUUUGGGACUUGGCUGUGGAAAUAUUGCUAUAAUGCUAGAGCAUCACUGGAGUAAAUUGCCAAUAGUUCUUAAAAGUCAACAGCAGGUUUUUUCCCUUUUUAACUAUGUGGGGGUGUUUGGUUCCCAUGUACUAAACUUUAGUCCACUAUUUUGGUGCACUUUUAAUCCCUAAACACCCAAACAGGUAGACUAAAGUUUGGACUAAAGACUUUAGUCCUCUAGUCCACAAAACUGGACUAAACUAGACUAAAGGAUGGUGGGGACACAUCUGCCCCUCAUUUAUUGCCCUCUCUCCCACCCGGCUCCCUCCCGCUGCCUCCCGCUCGGUCCCCGCCACCGUCGCUGCCUGCCGCCCUCCCUCCCGCCCGCUCUCUACCACGCGCGCCGAAUGUGGCGGCGGAUCCUGGCCGCACGGAGGCAGUCCCCCUGCCUAGUCUGCUGCGGUGGCGGUGCUAGUGCGUGGUGGGUAGACGAGCGACGCCCCCGGCCUCCACCCGCACCCGCUCCCCCUUAGCUCCGAGCGCAGCCAACGGCUGCCGCCGAGGGUGCCCCGCGCGGGGUGCCUCCGUGCGAUGGCGGGAGCCUACGGCGGACCUCCAUAGCCAUAGGGCGGCGGUGCUGGGCGGCUCGUCGGUGCUCAACCCCGCCCAUGGCAGUGGCUGCCCGUGGUUUGGGUUGUGUUUUGGGGAUUUUGAUUUGGCGCAAGGGAUUGAUCUGCGCUGGGCACUCAUCCCCCACCGCCGCCUCGCGCGAUGGAGGAUCCGCCGCCACAUCCGGUGCGCGCAGCGGGGAGUGGCGCAGCGACGGGGAGGCCUGCGCCUUGAGUGCCAUGUGGGCACAGGAGCGGAGGGGAGGCUGGGAGGGAGUGCCAGAACCAGAAGUUGGCAUAGGGGUACUGGCAGCAGGGGUAUAAAUGUCUUUGUUCAACAGCAUUUAUGGACUUUAGUCCAUUUUAGUCCAUGGAACCAAACAGAGGUGGGACUAAAGUUUAGUCCAUGGACUAAAGGAACCAAAUAGGGCCUAACUAGAAAUAUACAAUGGAUGUUCUCACAACGGCUGUUCUGUCCGAGCCCUACAGAAGAAGGCACCAUAGAGUCCAAGAGACCAGCCCCCGCGUCGCCCCCCACCGGGCCACUCGGGCGGCGACCACCCUCUAGCCACCGUCAGCCACCUCUACCCCCUUCUCCCUCGCUGUCGUAGGAGGAAACCACCAGGAGCCUGCGCGGCUCCCUAGGAUGGUGAUGGCGGGGUCUCUCUCGUCGCGGCGUGCUCCGGGUGGAACGCGGCAGCGGCCUCCCUUCUCCUAGCGGCGGCACGCUCGUCCUUGACCCGCGAUGUGUGCUUCCGUGGGCUCGACGACCGGAUCUGGUGAUGUUGAGGGUGGGUCCGGCGAGCGCGUAGCGGGCCCAGCCGAGGGAGCUCGGGCACCGCGGUGGCGGCCCUCAGUGGUGGCGGGGGCCCUUUCUGGUGGCCGGCGUGUGGAUCCACGACAUCGGAGGCUGAUGCCUGUGAGGCCAGGGCGGAUCAGGCGAACCCACAGCCAGGACAUGGCUCGGCCACCGUGGGCCAUGCUGACUCCCGGCGGCGGCGUGCGGCCACAGUACAGGGGCGGAGACGGAGGAAGGGGGCCACACAGGGAGCGGCUUUGGGGCACAGGCUGCAGUCGACGCGGGAGGUCGGGUCAGGCAUUCGCAGGGCUAGGGAACCCGUGCUGUAGUGGCCCGGAUGCAAUUGCGGCUGGCGCACAUGGAGGUCGUGAGGUGCGGCAGCGCCGGCAAGGACGUGCGGCUAGAGGUCGUGCAAGCGAGGAGGUGCGGCGGUGGCGUGGAGGCUACUCGUGUGGUGCCGUUGCAGUGGUGCGAGGAUCUACGCCGAUGGUGGUGGUGAGCCAUUGUUGCGGGAAACUUUUUGUGUGCGCACAUGGUACAACUGAGAUUUCGGCGGUGGCAAGGUGUAGGUGAAGUUAUUGGAGUAGCUCGGUGGAACCAUGUCACCUUUGAUGGCAAAGCAAGUCCGGAUCCUUGGUGUGGAGUCCAGCGACGGAAGUGGCGAGACCCCGUUCGCUUUAAGUUUGUGUGUCCGAGGAGUGGUGUGCGGCGGUGGAUGUGGUGAUGCCCCCACGCGUUUCGAGUUGCCUUGGAGGGUCAGGAUCCGGUGCGGCGUUUUGAUUGUUUGGUGUGUACGGUGCGGCAAUGAUGCUUCGGCGUUGGGUCCUGCAGAGCAGUGGCUUUUUCGGUGUGGUGCAGUGUGCUCCUCCUUUAACUUCUGCUGAUACAAAGCUGUGGAUUGGGAGAUCGAUGACUGUGUGUUUAUGACCUGAGGACGACAGAGGCACGGUGGAGAAACCUUGGUAGCUAUACGGCUUGCAGCAGACUGCGGCGGUCAGUCCUGCAUGGCAGCGGCUGGUUCAGCGUGGGACAUCGUUGGGGAUGACGGUGCUGGCGAUAAGGGCUACUUGUCGGUUUUUCCUGCUGGGUGGUGGUGGUGUGGCGUGGUGGUCGCUGCUCAAGCUUUAGCGUUGCGUGGCUUGCAUCGAUGUCUCAAUCGACCGGUCGUAGAGUUCUUUUUUGUUUUGAGUUGGGUUGAGUCGGCAUUUCUAUUGGGAGCUACUUUGGUGACUCUGCUGGUGUACCUAGUCUGGAAUCUUUUUUCUUUUUAAUAUAAUCCGUAGCUCUCCUAACUCGUUCGUUUCGAAAAAAAUACAAUGGAUGGUAUGCUGCACACUAAACUAGCCACUAGGCUGAUGGCUAAUGCUCAUGUUUCUGUUCUGUUAUAGCCACUAGACUGAUGACCUAUGCUCAUGUUUAUACAUAUGAGAAUUAUGGCGGCACUAAACAAUAAACUUUCGUGGCAAAAGAAAAGAAUAAAAUGAAGGGUCGUAGACAUGCCUGUUUCCAAUUUCUCUCUUGACAGGCUAACAUUGAUGAGAGGACUACUUAGACUCCCUGGUACAGUUCUCCUAGGAGAGGCCUCUGAAUCUGCUGAAAUGUCUAGCUGAAGGACUCUACAAAAUAAAAGAGAAUGACUGCAAAUUUAUUUGCUGAAAGCCUGCAUCAAUCAUCAAUUACACUGCAUUGUGUUAACAGUAGGCCAUGUUAGCUAUUAUGUAUCAAAAAGAUCAAAUUAAAUUUGAACAUGAGGAUCAAGAAAGAGAUGAAACGACCUACUAUGUGCCAAGAAAUUAUCUGUAUGUUUAAACUCUGAAUUAUCAAACAAUUCUAAAUUAAGCUGGGUUACAUAAAAGGAAAAGGUGUGUACUCCAUAUGAGCAUGGGCUUCCUACAUUUAAGGUACCGAAUUACUGAUAAAGAAAACAUUGCAGAGAAGAGUGACAUAUACACAAUGAAACUGGAUCGCACAGAUGGUAGCAUGGCGCAGGGUAAGAAGCAGGCACGGAGUGACGUUUUUUAAAUUGAUUUAAUUUAGAAUAAAUACAACAAUAUUCUCACGUGGUAUCUCUGCUGCUGCACAAAUAAUAGUAACACAUAAAAGGGGAAGGUUUGAGAUAACGAGGAAUGGCUACCGAUGGAUGGGACUAAAUUAAAGUUAUCUAUUCUAUUGCCUCCAACUCCAAAGCAACAGGGUAGAAUCAAACACUUUACACUUCAGGGUUACAUUCACAACUGCCUAUGAGAAGGCAUUUACAAGCAGCAGUGCAAUGCUUCAAAUUUCAGUGUGGUAUUGUUUACCCACAGGAAUUUCUAUACAAGUUCAUUAUCAUUGCACUGACAAGUGAGAGCAUUGUAGUAAUGGAAGAAUGGAGGCAUGUUCAACCGUAUCGAGGACUCGAGGUAGCCGAUUGUAUUGCUGAAGGACCGGAAAGGCGACCGGAGGGAGUGAAUGGGAGCUGAUUCAAAUUUUCUCAAAGAACCUCGGCUAAAGUCCCAACAUAAUCCACAAAAUUCUCUUCUAGCAAUAUCAAGUCCCCUUAGCUAUGCAGGAGCUAAUGGAUGGACCUAGGAAUAUUGCUAGGAACCCAAUUUGAGACUAGCGGAAGCAAGAAAAAGCCCAAACAAGUAUCGGGAGAAGAAAUUCGAAAACCAACUAAAAUUUGGAAAAUUCCGGAAAAUCCUUCGGAAACUUCCAAACUUUCGGAAAUUUCCGGAAAACCUUCGGAAAAUUGCAGAACUCCGGAAAACAGCCUUCGUGAGGAAGUGGGAAAAAUCAAUAACUCGAUCAAACGACCUCCAAAAUCACGAAAUUUGAACCAUAGACUCACAGCAACAUACCAAAGGUAUUUCCCAAAGGCUCAAGUCAAAAAGCCCAAGAAUUGGUAAAUAGAUUCAAAGGAUUUGGGAAGGGCACAAGAAAGGGGAUUUUCAGGGAAUCUCAAAAUUCAAGCCAAAUUUGCGAGGGAUUUGAGGGAGAUCACAUUAUAGAUGCUCACACGGGUCACAAAAACAAUUUCUCCUAACAAAUCUCACGGGAUUUGGGCUCAAACGCGAAGAACGCAAAAUCCCAAAAAAUACAUCUGAAAAUACUGAGAAAGAUAAAUUUUAGAUUCAAAGAGGAUGGAACAAUAUGGCACAAAAUUGAUCUUUGGAUUACUCCACCAUGUUUGGUUUCAAGCCACUCCUAAGCACAAUCCAAACUAGGACGACAAAAAGAUCAACUCACACCUCUCUCCCUCUGCCAAAGGCUCUCACAAAGCAAAUGAGAAAAUCCCCACCAAAACAAGCAAAGGGAUGGCUACCCCAACCAGCCAUCUCUCCUAUAUAUAGGCAUCUGGAAAAUAUCCAGAAUACCCUUACAUGAAGCACACAACUCAAAUACCCUCCAGGGCUAAAAUUGUCCAACGUUUUCCUCGUACAUCUGAUGGACCCGGCGCCUUCACGACUUCGCUUCGCCUCGACGCAAGCUUCGUGUGGUGUCACGCAUCCUCUGACUCGACGUCGUCCAGCCGCAUCGAAAUCGUCCCCUGAUUUUGAGGCCAAACUGGUCAAACCCUCUUGCACACCCCGCAAGCGUGACUCAUCCCCGAUUUUGAGGCCAAGCCGAUCAAACCCUCUCGCACGCCCUGCAAGGCAUGAUUCACCCCCUUGUUUUGAGGUCAAACCAGUCAAACCCUCUUGCACGCCGCGUACGACGUGACUCACCGAUGUUGAUGCGUGUCCGGUCUCCGCCAAGCCUUCGACGCCUUCAAGUCUUUCGCUCCUGGCUCCCGGGCCACCUACUCGACUCGCCUCCGUCCCGCUUGACUCGACCGACGCCGUCUCCAUCUCGUCCGUGUACUCUUGCUCUUUCAUGCACCAUAUGGAUCGUCCAUGACUCCGCUUGGACUCCUCGGGUCCCUCGAUCCAAACAUUCAUGCCCACCCUUCACAACGCUAGUACAUUGGUAUGAACCUUUCGCUUGACCUUCACCUCAUGCCGUCGACCGCCAUGUCGCAUCCUACACCUGCACAUCACAAGCCAAGAGACACAACACACAAGAUAUGUUUUAUACAAACACCACAACACAACUCACACAACUCACACAUCUAGUUAGCCGUUAGCAUAAUCAAGUGCAUAUGGAAUAUGGACUCAACCGGUAAAGACUCAAAUCAUCUAGUUAAUCACUCAUCACAAAUAGACCAAGACACAUGUCAACUUGGUCUCUCAAUCUCCUUCAUAAGUGCAUUGACAAAAGAUGAUUUGAAAGCAAAAGAGAACUCAUUCAAGUGCCCAAAAGCCAAAUAAAAGCAAACACAAGGCAACUUGAUAUGAAAAAGGAUCAUGCAAGCUCUGAACAAAAAACUCUAGGUUCCCAAAGAAGAGACAAAAAACUUAACACAACCGAAGAGUCAAGAAAAAGACACAAGAGCUUCAUGAAUCCCAAAAUGCCAUCAAAGCCAUUUCAAUAUUUGUCAAACGCUCAUCACAAUUAAAUCAAGGUUCAUAUCAACUUGAUUUUCUCAAUCUCCCCCUUGAUGAGUGUGUUGAAACCAUUCAAGCACAAAGAAAUGGUUUGAGAGGCAAAAGUCAAAAAUCUCAUCCAAGUGAUCGAAAGCUAAGUAAAAACUAAGAUCAAAGUUACUUGAGAUGAGAACAACCAUAAAAGCCAAGUUGUGAAACCAAUUAGGCAAAGCUCCCAUUCAAGUGAUCGAAAGCCAUGUAAACGCUAUGAUUAAAGUCACUCGGCAUGAGAAGCAUCACAAAGACCAAAUCAACUUGGAAAAGUCUCAGUUCCCAAAGACAUGGGCAACGGCUCGACACAACCGAGACAAAGAACACAUGAUCUCUCAAGAAGAGGCAGAAAGGGCUCAACACCAAUCAUGUGAAGAUCGAAAACACAUGAUCCCUCAAGAAGAGGCAGAAAUGGCUCAAAACCAAUCAUGUGACGAUCGAAAACUCAAACCAAAUGCCAGCUCCUCAAGAAGAGGUAAAAAGCUCAACACGACCGACAAAAGAGCAAAAGAGAGCACAAAACUAGCACAAAGCUAGAAUCGNNNNNNNNNNNNNNNNNNNNNNNNNNNNNNNNNNNNNNNNNNNNNNNNNNNNNNNNNNNNNNNNNNNNNNNNNNNNNNNNNNNNNNNNNNNNNNNNNNNNNNNNNNNNNNNNNNNNNNNNNNNNNNNNNNNNNNNNNNNNNNNNNNNNNNNNNNNNNNNNNNNNNNNNNNNNNNNNNNNNNNNNNNNNNNNNNNNNNNNNNNNNNNNNNNNNNNNNNNNNNNNNNNNNNNNNNNNNNNNNNNNNNNNNNNNNNNNNNNNNNNNNNNNNNNNNNNNNNNNNNNNNNNNNNNNNNNNNNNNNNNNNNNNNNNNNNNNNNNNNNNNNNNNNNNNNNNNNNNNNNNNNNNNNNNNNNNNNNNNNNNNNNNNNNNNNNNNNNNNNNNNNNNNNNNNNNNNNNNNNNNNNNNNNNNNNNNNNNNNNNNNNNNNNNNNNNNNNNNNNNNNNNNNNNNNNNNNNNNNNNNNNNNNNNNNNNNNNNNNNNNNNNNNNNNNNNNNNNNNNNNNNNNNNNNNNNNNNNNNNNNNNNNNNNNNNNNNNNNNNNNNNNNNNNNNNNNNNNNNNNNNNNNNNNNNNNNNNNNNNNNNNNNNNNNNNNNNNNNNNNNNNNNNNNNNNNNNNNNNNNNNNNNNNNNNNNNNNNNNNNNNNNNNNNNNNNNNNNNNNNNNNNNNNNNNNNNNNNNNNNNNNNNNNNNNNNNNNNNNNNNNNNNNNNNNNNNNNNNNNNNNNNNNNNNNNNNNNNNNNNNNNNNNNNNNNNNNNNNNNNNNNNNNNNNNNNNNNNNNNNNNNNNNNNNNNNNNNNNNNNNNNNNNNNNNNNNNNNNNNNNNNNNNNNNNNNNNNNNNNNNNNNNNNNNNNNNNNNNNNNNNNNNNNNNNNNNNNNNNNNNNNNNNNNNNNNNNNNNNNNNNNNNNNNNNNNNNNNNNNNNNNNNNNNNNNNNNNNNNNNNNNNNNNNNNNNNNNNNNNNNNNNNNNNNNNNNNNNNNNNNNNNNNNNNNNNNNNNNNNNNNNNNNNNNNNNNNNNNNNNNNNNNNNNNNNNNNNNNNNNNNNNNNNNNNNNNNNNNNNNNNNNNNNNNNNNNNNNNNNNNNNNNNNNNNNNNNNNNNNNNNNNNNNNNNNNNNNNNNNNNNNNNNNNNNNNNNNNNNNNNNNNNNNNNNNNNNNNNNNNNNNNNNNNNNNNNNNNNNNNNNNNNNNNNNNNNNNNNNNNNNNNNNNNNNNNNNNNNNNNNNNNNNNNNNNNNNNNNNNNNNNNNNNNNNNNNNNNNNNNNNNNNNNNNNNNNNNNNNNNNNNNNNNNNNNNNNNNNNNNNNNNNNNNNNNNNNNNNNNNNNNNNNNNNNNNNNNNNNNNNNNNNNNNNNNNNNNNNNNNNNNNNNNNNNNNNNNNNNNNNNNNNNNNNNNNNNNNNNNNNNNNNNNNNNNNNNNNNNNNNNNNNNNNNNNNNNNNNNNNNNNNNNNNNNNNNNNNNNNNNNNNNNNNNNNNNNNNNNNNNNNNNNNNNNNNNNNNNNNNNNNNNNNNNNNNNNNNNNNNNNNNNCUGACUCCCCCUCAACCAAAGACACCUAGCAAGAAAAGCUAGAAAAAGAAGGGGUAAAAGAAAAGUUCUAACUCCAAUAAAAAAAGAAGAGAAAAUGCAACCUAAAGAUAAGGGAAGCCCAAAAGCAAAAUAAAGAUCAAUUCAUGUCACACAAAGCAAUGAUGAUACCAAUAAGAGGAAUUAGAGCAUUGCAACAUGAUUCUACAUUUAUGAAUAAAAGAUUGGGCAAGCAAACAUGUCAACAAGGUGCGAAGGAUUAUACAAAGAUACUAAGCUAAAAUGAUACCAAAUGAACAAUAUACCAUACCCAAUACAAAGACUAAGCAAAAGCAUGGUACGAUGUUCAUGUGAAUCAUCCACCAAGAUAUAUUAAAAAGCUAGCAUGACAAGAUACACAUGAAGAUCACACAUGCUAACAUGAAUAGGUGGCUAGCCUACCAUGGUAUAUUCACAGCAUGAUACAAGUAUAAAACUUGCAAAAGAGUCCACAAGUGAGUAGUAUACACGAAAGGAAAAACUCACUAUACAAGUGUACAUCCAAACAGUGUGGAGAGCCAUCAAGUCUUGAUCACCUCAAGCAAAAGAUCAAGUCCCUUCGAGCUCAUGUCCUCCACCUGCAUCCCCAUACCUACACAUGAGGGGACAAAGAAGACCGAGUCUUGCAUCCCAAAGGGUUAGUAAGCAUAUACUUGGGAAUCCAAAACUUAGUCACACGGGUAAAAGAUACACUCAACUUAUCAUGUGGGUUAGCAUGAUGCAAAUGCCGGUUCAAAUGAGAUGAUUUUGAAAUACCCUUGGAACCAUGCCUCAAAGAAGCAACUCGAGAAGAAGAACAAGUGCUACCACUAGCAAAAAGACAAUGAUCCCCUGGGGUCUUAAGAGAAGAACCAACACAAGCACCAUGAGAACCAUGGCGUGGACCAACAUAAGAAUAACUAGAAGCAUGUCCACGAGCAUGACCUAACUCACUAGAAAAGUAGUCAUAAAACCCAUCAAUGAAAUGUGGCUUCUUACUAGGCUCACAAGUGCUCAUGCCAUGAGAUGGGCUAUGAACAACCAAAGGCCUAGAAACACGAGUUCGUCACAUUUGUCUUGCACGACGAUAACAAAAGCUAUCUUGAUGCCCAUCUUUCUCAUAAUAGGAGCAAUGGUACAAAGGCCUUUUUGUAGGCACGGUCCGAGAGGAUGAAUCAUCAUUCUCAUUCAAGUGAGAAAUCCCUUGGGACUUAGAGCAAAAAGCAUCAACAACACCAUUUGACUUGGUGCCCAACAUUAGGUUCACACGUGCCAUGGGAAAGGCUACAUGGCUUUCUAAAAGCUUUGGCACGCACACAUCGCUCAUGCUUGAUAUGGCGAAAACAAAACUCAAUGGUAUGCCCAUCUUACAAAAGGUGCAAUGAAACUUUGGUUUGGGAGUAUGAGUUCCAAAAGUGUGAGAAGCACCCUUGCCACUUGAAUUAUCUUGAGCAAAACUGGAAGAAGCAACAAGCUUAAGAGUAGCUAUAGAAGAGCUAUCCAAAGCACUAGCACAAGUACUAGCAUCCAAAGACUCACGCUCAAUAGAAGAAAGCAACUCCAGUUGGGAAGAAGCAAUUUUGGAAACACCAACAUCGGAGUGAUAAGAAUUGCGAGAAUCAAAAGACUUAGCACUAAGAAUCUUGCAUCUUGUGGCUAAAACCUCAUUUUCAUGUUUGAGACGAUCACAAGUACCACAUGGAGCAUUUCUCAAAUUAUCCAUCUCCUUUUCAAUACACUUAGCAUAUGUAGUACGCAAGAGUUCAUUUUAUUUCUCAAGGUUGGCACUCAUCUCAUUGCGCUCAACCAACUUGGCACUCAUAUCAUCGCGCAUUUGCUUCAAAGUUAAAACUUGAUUUUCCAAUUCAAUGCAUGAUGUGCAAAUAAGACCGCAUGAACAAUCAUCAUCAUUCACAUCACUCACGAUAUCAUGAUUAUCACAAGAAGUAAGGCAAGCAUCAUCAUCAAGAACCAAAGAGCACAUGCUACAAGGCAUAGACUUUAUUUCACAAAUUUCAGCCCUAGCAUGCUCAAGUUGUUCAACUCAUGUGGUAUGAGUCAAUUUUAAGUCAUUAAUUUCAGCAAACAAAGACUCAUAUGAAACACAUGGCAAAGAAGCAUUAGACUUCAAAAGAGCAAUUUCAUCCUAGCCUUAUCAAGAUCAUUAUUCAAAGCAACACAUGAAUUACAUGGCAUAGAGGUAUUGGAUUUCAAAAUUUCAUUUUUAGAUUUUAAAGCAUCAUAAUCAAUUGAGAGCUCAUCAAGUAGUCUUCUACGAGAUUCAAGUUGCUUGUCACCAAGAUAAACAUCUCUUUUUAGUUUCUCAUUUUCAAUGUGCAAAACAUCACAAGAUUUGCAUGGUAGAGGUAAGCUAGACUUGCAUGAAAUUAAAGCAUUCACAUUAUCAAGUCUAGACAUGUCCAAAUUUUUCUUAAGCUUAGCAAUCGUCUCGCCAUGAGCACAAAGGCAAGUGAACAAACCAAUUAUACCUUGGGAGAGUUUACCUCUACUCAUCUUGUGAAGCUUGCGUUGGAGAUCAUCUUCUUGAGGCAUCUCAUCCAUCAAAAGACGCAUCAAUGCCAUCACUUCAUCAUCCUUGUUUAGAUCAUCCCGCUUCUUUCUGCUUUGAUGUGACCACACCACCUAGGGACAAAGAACCAAUAGAACAAGAGCUUGGUGCCAAAACUCAAAGCACCGGUUAGGAUUAGCCAAAAACAAGCUCAAAUCGUGAAAACCAAAUCCGCAAGCAAAAGCGCUCUUUACCUUGUCGCCCCGUGGAUCACAAAGCUGAUUAAAGUUGUGUGAUUCUUAACCAAGCUCUAAUACCAAUUGAAGGACCGAAAAGAUGACCAGAGGGGAGGUGAAUGGGAGCUGAUUCAAAUUUUCUCAAAGAAUCUCGACUAAAGUCCCAACCUAAUCCACAAAACUCUCUUCUAGCAAUAUCAAGUCCCCUUAGCUAUGCAGGAGCUAAUGGACCUAGAAAUAUUGCUAGGAACCCAAUUUGAGACUAGUGGAAGCAAAAAAGAGCCCAAACAAGUAUCGGAAGAAGAAAUUUGAAAACCAACACUAAAGUUUGGAAAAUUCCGGAAAAUCCUUCGGAAAUUUCCGAACUUUCAGAAAUUUCCGGAAAACCUUUGGAAAAUUGCAAAACUCCGGAAAACAGCCUUCAUGAGGAAGUUGGAAAAAUCUGAAACUCGAUCAAGCGACCUCCAAAAAUUAGAAAAUUUAAACCAUAGACUCACAACAACAUACCAAAGGUAUUUUCCAAAGGCUCAAGUUGAAAAUCCCAAGAAUUGGUCACUAGAUUCAAAGGAUUUGGGAAGGGCAUAAGAAAGGGGAUUUUCGGGGAAUCUCAAAAUUCAAGCCAAAUUUGUGAGGGAUUUGAGGGAGAUCACAUUAUAUAUGCUCACACGGGUCAUAGCAACAAUUUCUCCUAACAAAUCUCACGGGAUUUGGGCUCAAACGCGAAGAACGCAAAAUUCCCAAAAAUACCUCCAAAAAUACCGAGAAAGAUAAAUUUUAGAUUCAAAGAGGAUGGAACAAUAUGGCACAAAAUUGAUCUUUGGAUUACUCCACCAUGUUCGGUUACUAGCCACUCCUAAGCACAAUCCAAACUAGGAUGAGAAAAAGAUCAACUCACACCUCUCUCCCUCUGCCAAAGGCUCUCACAAAGCAAAUGAGAAAACCCCCACCAAAACAAGCAACGGGAUGGCUACCCCAACCAGCCAUCUCUCAUAUAUAUAUAGGCAUCCGGAAAAUAUCCAGAAUGCCCUUACAUGAAGCACAUAACUCAAAUACCCUCCAAAGGUAAAAUCGUCCAACGUUUUCCUCCUAUAUCAGAUCAUUGCUUACCCUUGUGCUUGUCAGCUAUCAUGUUCAAGUAGGAAACACAGCGCUUGGAAAGUUGAUCAAGACUCUCCCCACCAACCUACCAAAAAAAUGAACGGAUUAGAUAACUAGUAUACAACAACCACAAGGAAAAAUGACUGUCACUGAUUCAGAAGGAUUCAAGGUAGCUUUGGGAGGAGAAUGGAAGGUAGUUACAGGAAUUUCUUGGUUUCUGUCAUCUGAUGAGAAAGCCUUGUAAGCUUCAGGCUUGGUACUGACGGCAUCAUCAAACUUCAAACCGUGGAGAUCUCCCAUGUGCCUUUCUCUCAGUGACUGAUCAAACACCAGCUGAAACAAACAGUAGUUAAUUUAUUUAAAACAGCAAUUCGAAAAAUUAGCAUACAUUAUGGAGACAUGACAAGCAGUAAUUCAAGUUGUCCCAGAGGAUUCAUACAUUGGGUACAUGGCAAGCUAUUGCGAUAGUUUGUGCAGUCUUGGCAGCGCGCUUCAAAUCAGAGGAGUACACAGCAGCUGGCUUGGCUUCUUUGGACAACCGAAGGGCAAGCUUCAGGUUUUUUUUUAAUAAAUGAUAAUAUCAGAACCACGUAAAAGCAUGAUUCCGAGACAUAACCGCACAAAGUAUAACUACCAUGAUAGCUUGCUGCCUACGGAGUACCAGUCUCAUUCAGCUCCGGAUCCAUAAAGAGUUGAAUACCGAGCCUCGUGAAGGAGGAGAAAACUAAUGGAACAAUGGUGAGAAGGGACUUCUAUACUGAAGUCUGAAUUGCUGAUACUGUUAGCAACAAGCACCUGAUUCAACUGGAGGAGCCAUUUCAAGCAUAAUCAUUGAAAUCACAAAACAGUUUUGAAAAGAUCGAAUCAUCCGGAAAAAAGGAGGAUUCUCUUUUUCCUUCUUCCUCGGUACAAAUUGCAGGUGGAGAAGGAUAGGGAGAGAACUGACCUGAAUGAUGCGGGAGGCGCUCCACGACGUCUCUUCAUGCCGCACCACCAUUACCUCCGCGAAGUUCUCGCCGUCCUGCGAUGCAGGUGACAUUGCUCGAUGGGCGCUAGCCGCUGCAGUGAAGAGGAGAGGGACGGACCUUCCAUCCAGGUGCUUUUGUUCCGGUUGACUUUGAACCCGAGACUAAAGUGUCUUUAGUCCCGGAUCAAAAAUGAUGCACCGAAGGCUACCGACGGAAGGGGCUUUAGUCCCGGUUGUAACUGCUAAAAAAUUUGGUACCGACGCUACCCCUUUGUCCCAGUUGGUAAUUCCAACUGGGACUAAAUCUUUUGUUCCGGUUGAAUAUACCAACCGGGGUAAGGGGGCUUUAGUCCCGGUUGGUAGCUUCAACCGGAACAAAACGCCCUUCACGCGCCCCCUUCUCUUUCCACGUUAUCUUUCUCCUCACACCCUUCCUUCCUUAUCCUCGCACAGCACUCCUCUCCACUUCUUAUCCACCGACGCCUCCUCUCCUCUCCACUCCUUAUUCACUGGCACCUCCUCUCCUCCACUCUCCUCUCUGCGCUGCCGCCACCCCAUCCUCCCUCUGCUGCCCCUCCCCUUCCCCCUCUGCUCGCCCCUCACUGGCAGUGAGGAGCGACAACGGGGCGAGGGCAGGGCAGUGGCGCGCGGGGGAGCUGCGUCGACCAGCUAGAGGCGGCCCCACGAGCUAAUGCGGCUGGGCGGCGGGUGGCCGAGCGGUGCCGGGCAGGCGGCGGUGGGCGAGGGCGGAGCGGAGGUGGACAGAGGUGGGUGGCGGCAGGUGAAGGCAGAGCCGAGGUUGUCGGUGGCGGAGCGGAGGCGGGCGGCGACUGGCGGAGGCGAGCAGUGGUGGAGCCGAGGCAGUGGCGGCAGGCGGAGGCCCAUUUUUUUUAUUUUUUACCUUUUUAGUCCGGGUUGGUAAUACCAACCGGGACUAAAGGACGUCUUUAGUCCCGGGUGAAUGACUCAGGACUAAAGGACCUCCCCUUUUAUCUCGAAAACUUAGUCCCGGUAGGAUUUUCGUGAUCUAUGGCCCUAUCCAACCUGGACUAAAGCCGCAUUUUCCACCAGUGGCAGCAUCCGGAAGGCUGGAAUCACAACCACCUCUCUUGUCCUAUAUAUAUAAUUACCCCGUCCACUUGUCAUAUGUGUUCUUAAUAUUUCUCAUAGUUGACUGUAAUCUCGUCUUGGUUUAUUUAAGUUAGAAAGAAACACGGGAAGAGCAACAGCGCGUUAAUUGGUUUCUGCUCCAAGUCUAAAAGUCUUCCAAGUUUGUUGUACCAGAAUGCUGAUGAUUGCUAUUCAGCCAAGCAAACGAAACACGGUUGCAGAGUGAUGAUACAUCAAGUUCAUGACAUUUAUACUAGACCACACGCCCAAGAAAAUGCAAUGUAAAAACACGGAGAGGCGGAGGCGGUCGGCGGCCGCGGCGCGAGGGCAGAGACGGUGGACGCGGCACGAAUUGAAGAACCUCAAAACGCCACGGCAAGCGGCAUUGUGGCCGUUGAAUGGCGGGGUUGUAGCCCUCAAGCCGCAUCCAACCAUCACCAAAUGCACUAUGCGGGAAGCCAUCUCCGGUGAGGUGUCCGGCGUCCCCGAACUUCUCCAGGAUCCAACGGCCAUCGGAACCGGAGAUAUGGACAACGCUGAUUGAGGUGUUAGGAAUUUUCUUGCCAACCGAGAUCGUUGGAUCGGCGUGCCUGCAGAUUUCCUCUAUGACUGCCUCAUGGGAGACGACGACCACCCGCUCACCUUUUAACGCAACACGCGACAGCUUGAAAUUCACCACCAGGUGCAAGUUUUGACCAUAUAGAGAGCACAAGAAAUUACUAUGUGGAUUAGUGCUUACCCUUGUGCUUCUUGGCGAUUUCGUUCAAGCGGGAAACACAACGCUCAGAAAGUUGAUCAAGACUCUCCCCGCCACCCUGUCCAAAGGAGAUGACUAGUGAGUAAUAUAUAGCAACCAACAGGGGAAAAGCAUGCCUAAGCCUAGCUUUUACUUCGACUAAGGACUAAGUACAACUUUGAGAGAGAAUGGAAAUUAGUUACAGGUAUUUCUUGGNNNNNNNNNNNNNNNNNNNNNNNNNNNNNNNNNNNNNNNNNNNNNNNNNNNNNNNNNNNNNNNNNNNNNNNNNNNNNNNNNNNNNNNNNNNNNNNNNNNNNNNNNNNNNNNNNNNNNNNNNNNNNNNNNNNNNNNNNNNNNNNNNNNNNNNNNNNNNNNNNNNNNNNNNNNNNNNNNNNNNNNNNNNNNNNNNNNNNNNNNNNNNNNNNNNNNNNNNNNNNNNNNNNNNNNNNNNNNNNNNNNNNNNNNNNNNNNNNNNNNNNNNNNNNNNNNNNNNNNNNNNNNNNNNNNNNNNNNNNNNNNNNNNNNNNNNNNNNNNNNNNNNNNNNNNNNNNNNNNNNNNNNNNNNNNNNNNNNNNNNNNNNNNNNNNNNNNNNNNNNNNNNNNNNNNNNNNNNNNNNNNNNNNNNNNNNNNNNNNNNNNNNNNNNNNNNNNNNNNNNNNNNNNNNNNNNNNNNNNNNNNNNNNNNNNNNNNNNNNNNNNNNNNNNNNNNNNNNNNNNNNNNNNNNNNNNNNNNNNNNNNNNNNNNNNNNNNNNNNNNNNNNNNNNNNNNNNNNNNNNNNNNNNNNNNNNNNNNNNNNNNNNNNNNNNNNNNNNNNNNNNNNNNNNNNNNNNNNNNNNNNNNNNNNNNNNNNNNNNNNNNNNNNNNNNNNNNNNNNNNNNNNNNNNNNNNNNNNNNNNNNNNNNNNNNNNNNNNNNNNNNNNNNNNNNNNNNNNNNNNNNNNNNNNNNNNNNNNNNNNNNNNNNNNNNNNNNNNNNNNNNNNNNNNNNNNNNNNNNNNNNNNNNNNNNNNNNNNNNNNNNNNNNNNNNNNNNNNNNNNNNNNNNNNNNNNNNNNNNNNNNNNNNNNNNNNNNNNNNNNNNNNNNNNNNNNNNNNNNNNNNNNNNNNNNNNNNNNNNNNNNNNNNNNNNNNNNNNNNNNNNNNNNNNNNNNNNNNNNNNNNNNNNNNNNNNNNNNNNNNNNNNNNNNNNNNNNNNNNNNNNNNNNNNNNNNNNNNNNNNNNNNNNNNNNNNNNNNNNNNNNNNNNNNNNNNNNNNNNNNNNNNNNNNNNNNNNNNNNNNNNNNNNNNNNNNNNNNNNNNNNNNNNNNNNNNNNNNNNNNNNNNNNNNNNNNNNNNNNNNNNNNNNNNNNNNNNNNNNNNNNNNNNNNNNNNNNNNNNNNNNNNNNNNNNNNNNNNNNNNNNNNNNNNNNNNNNNNNNNNNNNNNNNNNNNNNNNNNNNNNNNNNNNNNNNNNNNNNNNNNNNNNNNNNNNNNNNNNNNNNNNNNNNNNNNNNNNNNNNNNNNNNNNNNNNNNNNNNNNNNNNNNNNNNNNNNNNNNNNNNNNNNNNNNNNNNNNNNNNNNNNNNNNNNNNNNNNNNNNNNNNNNNNNNNNNNNNNNNNNNNNNNNNNNNNNNNNNNNNGUUUAGCCUUCUCUAGUACAGGGUGCAUAGAUAUUGGUUAGGAUCCAGUUUUCUCCAAUCUACCUACAUGAGAAUUAUACUGAUUGGGCAUAAUCAUUUUGAAAGUCCAAGUGACCACUGAACUUGGAACUGUUCCAGAUAAUGUUAGUCCCUCCUGAGUUACCCACUAAUAGUAAGAACACAUAAUCAUCCAUAUAUGCUGGAUAGAAAUUUUAACAUAUGUAAUAUCGAAGAAUUCUUUCUAAGUUUCUUGUAGACAUAGAAUAUCACAUUUGGAUUUACAAAUCUUGCUUUUGACCGCAUCCCAUUUCCCAUCAGAGUUAAUACCUCUAAUAUUCCACGAUAGAAUGACCCAAUUCCUUUUAUGUUGUCCCUGAUUAUAGAUGCUCAUUGAUGAGAAGCCCAACAAAUCGCAUGUGUAAGAUACAAUUAUCCACAGGAUGUCCAAACCGAAAUAAAUAAACAUUCUAAUUAAGAUAAAGAUCACCAGGAUCAACCACAUGUUCAUAAGGGAUAAUAAAGAAGUCCACAUCCCCAAGACAUUACAGUUUAACAAAAUCUCAACCAUUCCCAUCAUGAUACAGGAUAAACUAAUAAUGAAGAUAGCAAAUAAGAUCUUGCUACUUCUUGAUCUUCUUGCGUGAUUCCUCGGAUUCAAUCUCAUCGAUCUUCUCUUUGCUUUUCUCUCUCUUGGAGUUGAUUACCUUCCUGGAGGUCUUGUAAAAACACGGAGAGGCGGAGGCAGUCGGCCGAUGAACGGCGGGGUUAUAGCCCUCAAGCCCCAUCCAACCAUCACCAAAUGCACUAUGCGGGAAGCCAUCUCCGGAGAGGUGUCCGGCGUCCCCGAACUUCUCCAGGAUCGAACGGCCAUCGGAAUCGGAGACAUUUACAACGCUGAUUGAGGUGUUAAGAAUUUUUCUGGCAACCGAGAUCGUUGGAUCGGCGUGCCUGCAGAUUUCCUCUAUGACUGCUUCAUAGGAGACGAUGACCACCCGCUUACCUGUUAACGUUAACGCAACACGCGACAGCUUGAAAUUCACCACUAGGUGCAAGUUUUAACCAUACAGAGAGCACAAGAAAUUACUAUGUGGAUCGGUGCUUACCCUUGUGCUUCUCGGCGAUUGCGUUGAAGCGGGACACAGCGCUCGGAAAGUUGAUCAAGACUCUCCCCGCCACCCUGUCCAAAAGGAGAUGACUAGUGAGUAAUAUAUAGCUUUUACUUUAACUAAGACUAAUUAAGUACAAACUUUGAGAUCAGAGGAGAAUGGAAAUUAGUUACAGAUAUUUCUUGGUCUCUGCCACCGUGAGCGAAAGCCUUGUAAGCUUCAGAUCUCUUGGCAUCGUCAAUGGUCCAACCUUGGAACAAUCCCAUGUGCCUUUCCGUCAGUGCCCGAUCAAUCACCAGCUGAAACAAACAGAAGCCCAUUUAUUCGGAUGAUAUAUAGAACACCAAUAAUUCCUGAAGUGAGAAAAAUUAGCACAAACUAAUACUAGUAUUCAAAGAAUGUUCAUACAUCAGAAUCAGAUACGCAGCGCGAGGGCGGAGGUGGCGGACUAGGCACGAAUUGAAGAACCUCGAACGCCCAUGGCUAGCGGCAUCGCGGCCGUUGAACGACGGGGUUGUAGCCCUCAAGCCGCAUCUAACCGUCCACGGAUUUGGGCCAUUGAAUAGCUUAUUUUUUUUAAAGAACAGGAGGGUAAACUCCUACUGAUUAUAUAUUAAAUUGAAAGGAUACAAAGAAAAUGGCACAAAUCUAAAGAGAGAAAAUCAAAAAAAAGGAAGAGGAAGAGAAAAAGAAAAAAAGGGAAAAAGACAAGCCUAGGAGUACAAGCUAAGAGAUUAUAGAGUAUGUAACCAGACAUUCACAGCAGGCAUUAAAGCAGGGUGCGCUCUAUGGGGUAACAAGGAAAAUUCAGACAUGAAUUUCCUUUUGCACAAUUCCACUGAUGGAUUGAACAUCCAGUCAUUCCUAGUCGUCCAGAUGCUCCAUGACAUAAGAAUUAUGAUUUCCAUGAAGAAAGGAACAUGCUCCAUGACAUAAGAAUUAUGAUUUCCAUGAAGAAAGGAACAGCAAGCUUGUCCUUGAUUUGUUUGAAAAUCCGAAGGAUUGGUUUGGUGGUGAUAACUGAUACUCCAAUUGAAUUCCAGCAUGCUUUGGCAAAGUUACAUUGGAGGAAUAGGUGUGCCACAUAUUCCAUCUUUUGUAAUAUACAUAGUUCGCAAGUGUAGGAGUCAAGAUCCAUUUGUUUCCUUCUCAAUAUAUCUCUUGUACUAAGGCGAUCUUUGAGCAAUAACUAGAAGAAGACCUUGUGUUUGAUCUGACAUUUAGAUUUCCAAAGUCAGAAAUAUGCUGGAUGGGUAUUCCUCUACCCAAUGAUAGCCUUAUAUACUUUGGAUGUUGAAAACAUUGAAUUCCUCCAAAUGUAUGUACACCUAUCAGGUUCUUGUACGGUAUUCAUGCCAUCAAUGAGUUGUUGCAGGAUACGGUAUUCAUGCCACCAAUGAGUUGCUGCAGGAUAAUAAAUUGUGAAUGUUCCUGGGUUGUUAGGGGUAAGUUGAAAUUCUGGAUGAAACUUGGUUAGUUGACAGCCGCUUUGAAGGUGAUGUUGUGGUCUUUGGCAAAUGAGAAAAGCUCCGGAUGAACCUGUGAUUGCACUGCUCCAUUCCAAAAGUCUUUUCAAAAGAGUACUGUGGAACCUUCUGCCACUAGAACUGAAGCAAUUCCUUUAUAUGUAUCCAAUAAUUUGACUACAUCCCUCCAUCAAAAGGAGCCUUUUCUUUGCUAACCCAGUAGUCGACCAUUAGCAUAGUAAUUUUCCCAUACAAUGUUGACCCAAGGAGUGUCGACCUUGGAGAAGAACUUGUGCAGGAACUUUAGCAACAUAGCAUCAUUAUGUGUAGCAAGAUUGACAACUCCCAAUCCACCUUGUUUCUUAGGCAAACAUACCAAAGGCCAAGCAGCUGUGGAAGGCUUCUUGGAGUUCAUGUCUGAUCCCCUCCAUAAGCAGUGUUUCCUAUAUUUGUGCAAUUUUAGCGUUGAUGUAUAGAAAACUGCUGAUGAAGAGAAGACCGAGUUAACCAUCUCCAACUUGCCACCUUGACUCAAAAAAAGGGACAUGUUGCUUAACCUCUUUUCUAUCUUUUGUAUGAGGGGCAGAAAAUUUUCCAUGUUAAGCUUGGUGGUUCCUAGGGGCAGUCCCAGAUAUGUGAAGGGGAGAGAACCUUUUUGACAGUUAAAAGUUGUGGCAAGAUUCUCAAGAUUUGCUUCAGAAAUGUUUAGGGGUACUAUAGCUGAUUUACUAUAAUUGACCUUCAGUCCAGUGGAGGCAGCAAAGGUGCUAAGAAGGUCUUUGAGGAAUAAGAGCUGGUUUGGGCAGGCCUCCAUAACAAGUAGGGUGUCAUCUGCAUAUUGGAUAAUUGGAAAAUUUGUCCCUGCUCUUUCUGGAAUUGGUAGUUUAAGAAAUCCUUGGUCUUUGGCUCUAUUGAUGACUGAUUGAAGUAGGUCUGGUGCCAGGACAAAAAGAAGAGGUGAGAGGAGAUCACCUUCCCUUACUCCUCUUCUGAAGUGAAAGACUUUCCCUGGAACUCCAUUCAGAAGAAUUGAAGAUGUGCCUGAUCCUAGUAUGUCUUUGAUCCAAUUAAUCCAUCUAUCCCCGAAGCCUUGUGUUUUAUAAUUUGUAGAAUGUUCUGAUGUUCAAUCUUAUCAAAGGCUUUUCCAAAGUCUAGUUUCAGAAUCACUAAUUCUCUUUUAGAGGCCUUGCAGAUAUGUAGAUAUUCAAUGACCCAAGCUAGAUAGUCGUGUAUAGAUCUUGAUCUAAUAAAACCAUAUUGAUUUUUGUGAAUGAAUCUUAGGAUGACCUGCUGUAGCCUGUCUACAAGUAGCUUGGUGAGUAGCUUAAUUGUGGAGUUCGGGAGGGAAAUUGGUCCAAAGUCUCCAACUAAGGAUGGACAGUUCUUCUUGGGGAUUAGGAUGAUGUACAAAGCAUUGAUGCUUCUUAGACAUAUAUUUCCUUCAAAAAAAAUCCUCACGGAGUUUGUAGAAGUCUUGAGAAAUUAGGUUCCAGCACGUCUUCAGGAACUUUACAUUAAAGCCAUUAGGUCUUGGGGACUUGUUGUUAGGGAGCUCUGUAAUUAUCUUAUUAAUUUCUUCUUAGGUAAAUGGACUUUUAACUAGUCCAUAUUGUUGUCAACCCGAAGUAGAGAGUCAAGGUCAAAGUACAUGUGUGUAAACUCUGAGGUUCCUAUUCUUCCUUUAUAAGUGUUCCAGAGCAUUGCUGCCUUGGCUUCAUGGUCAAACACCUCACUUCUAGAAUCAUCUGUCAGAGAGGUAAUAGUGUUCUUCCUGUGUCUGAUCGACGCAUUGGCAUGGAAAAACUGAGUACACUUGACGGGUCCAUAGACCCGGGGUUCCCAAUGGGCCUGCUUUUGCACAACACCUGGCCCAACGAGAGGUGCAGCGAUAAUGCAGGCCUGGGCCGGCCCAAAUACGUGACGCCAGGCCGAGACCAUGAUCCAGCCACCGACCUACACUUCCGACUAGGAGGCCUGGUCGACGCCCCGACCAGAAGGCCUGGUCGGGGGCAGGACCACAGUCCGACUCCGACCAAGUUCCCCCAACUAGGGACACGCCAGACCUAUGCAUACCACUCCUUCCCGACUGGCACAGUCAGGACUAUGGCAGAACUGCCCAAAUUAACCUGACUAAAAUGCACUUAAGUCAUCUGACACGCGAUCAUGCACUUUAACCAAGUCAACUUGGUUGUCCGUCGGAUUUCAUCCGAUAAACCACUUACUCAGGAUCGAGAAGCAUUGCUCACACGAAGGUGAGUGGCACAAAGAUUACAACAUUCCCAUCACAUUAACAUAGUUCAACAAUUUAUUACAACAAAGUUUUCGAAAUUCAAACAGAGUUUGCAAGGUUGUAAAUAACGAAGAAGUAAAACAAGUGGAAGCUACACGACGAUACACAAUACCAUGGCGAAGCCGACCAUGAUAUCAAUGACCCCUGUUCUCGCCAUCCGAGGAGGGAUCCCACUCGACUAUCCAACCCGGAGGGAGCUGGGUAGGCCAAGUGGUGCCAGCAGCCAAACUAUCGACAUUACCUGAAAAGUUAUGCCACAAGCAAGGCUGAGCAACUAAUACUCAGCAAGACUAACCCGAUAGGUGAUAACUAUUCACCGACUCCUAGACAUGCAAGGCUUUUUGGCUGUGGGUUUGUUUUUGCCAAAACACCUAAAGUUGUCCUUACUUUCAACAUUUUAGCUCAAGUUCUAUGUUCAUUAACCAGUCUAGAUUAGCAACUUAUACUAAACAAGCAUAGUUUCCAAACAAUUAAAGAACAAGCAUCAAGAUUAAAGUCAUCAUCAUAUUUCUUCUUUACUCAGUGCAGAAUAGCGAUCAAGCAGUCCCAAACUAUGAGAGGUAGAUGAAUCGAUUCGAAUUUAUUAACCAUGCAUGGAGAACCUAAUCUCACGACAUCCGUGCACCACGAAGGGUCGCUUCACUUGUCAGCCGUCCCCAUCGAUCCCUAUGCACGUGUCAGGGCCAAACUUCCCUGGCAUGCAAUGCUGCACAAGUCCCGGCCUCUUGUCGUACUGUGACUGCACUUGCACCCACAUGAUGCACCAUGGGGUGCAAGUGCAGGAGUAUAAGCCAGGCCCAGUUCAAUCAGGUACUAGGCUUUCCUAUCCCAUACUAGGUAUUAGAUUAGUACUUUCAAACACUUGAUCACGAACGUCGACACGUUUUGACCUUAGCAAGUUCAUUACUAGAUAGACAGGGCAAACCACCACAUUGGAACCAUUCCCGGUCCCGUCCAUCAUCCUUAUAGUUGUAGUAUGAGUAAACAAACAACUCCUAUAACUCGCGAGUGACAGGCAAUCACUCGACUUUUACCAAGUCCUAUUUAGCACAACAACUACUCGACCUUAGCAACUAGUGUUCAGAUCAAAGGUACUAAAUUCAUACAUCUAUGGUUUCAAUCAACUCCUACAAAUGUAAAUGCACAAUCAUAAUCGUCAAUAUAUUGCAUAAAUUUAAAACAGGAAAGCAUGCACCGGGGCUUGCCUUCAGGUUUAGAAAAAUUUAGCGGGUCUUCGGGGUCUUGAUCUAGCUCGGGCUCAACUUCCGUGUGAUGUAGCUCUGCGGCGGGUUCCUCUUCCAGCGUAGGGUGGAGCUCGUAGGUUCCGUCGGCGAUAUUAGCUUCUACACGACAUGCACAUGCAGAGAGUUCAAUUUUCCAUGCUUUCAUACGAAUGAUGUAAGCAUGACUUAUUGCUGAAAUGAAAGUUGCAUUUCGACCACAUUCACCUAAACAAGGUUUCAACUUUCAUUACCUUCAUGAAGUAAGGUGUGUUGUGGUUUAAAACUCAUGGUUGACUUUGAUGGUGAUUGUGUACAUAUAUAAGAUUUCAUAACUUAGACUUCACAAGGAAAGUGAGGGUCACUUUUAGGAUUGUUCGGGGUUCAUUUGGAAAGUCAUUUAUUUCUGAAUAUUUUUAUUGUACCUCUUCCAAAAAUCACCAAUUAAGUUUACUAGGACUUAACAUUUCCUUACUCAUUUAAACCGAUUCCUCAUCCAAAAUUUGUUUCCACAACCAAACAGUAACAUAUGACAUUGAGAAAUGAGCAGUACCUCACUCAUGUCAUCAAUGAGUUACUGUAAAAAUUUGGGAUCCAUUGGAUUAGCACAAAACGAAUUAAAACUACUUUAUUACCCAAGGGUAGCAUGCACUUAACCAUUUUUAUCUCAAAACCUAUAGUGAUUCCGAGGGUGAAACUUUAACAGUGGGUUGAAGGUAUGUUAUAGAGACUUUGGUGAAUUUUUCAUGAUUUUUGGUGAAGGACAACUAUUUCCCAAAUUUUACUCCUAUUAUCUUGCUCUAAAAAGGAAAGUGGGUUUCAUCAAGCUUUAGUCAAGGUUUCAUAUUUUCCAUGUGAAUACGCUUCAAAACUAAGCUACUCCAAGUGAUUUCAUAUUUUUCUCAGCUCUGGAUUAAAACUUAUGCAAAAACAAAGAUUUAACCCUAGAUUUCAAAUAUAAAGCUAAAACAGUGAGUUAAAGUUCUACUCCAGGGUCUUCACUAUUUUUCCAAGCUUCCAUACUUAGAAACAUACACCACAGAGUUAGAUUUAUCUUUUUAGUAUUUUUCUUUGAUUUACUAUGAUUUAAAAGGCCUAAGCAAGAAAUAAAACUAUAGGGUCUUAUUUCCAACAGUAACAUGGGCAAGAUUAUUUUGUAUGAAACUGGAUAGUUCACUAAGUCCAACAAAAAUUUAUUUGGCAUUUUUCUAAUUUUUCUACGAUUUAUGGUGCAUUUACAAAGUUUAUUCUAUUUUCUAUCAAUUUAAAACAAUUAACCGAAACAACUUACAAUCUAAUCCUCGCGUCUAAGGUUUAAUCAUGCAGUGUUCUCUAGUUCUUGCGCUAAGACCCCUGGAAAAAGAUAAAAGACAUAGGGAGGCCCCUAGCGGCGGCCGCAGCCGAUCUUCGCCCGAUUCCGGCGAUGCAAGGCUUGGGCCUGGGCAAGAAGCUACCGGGGAGAAGCGCGUGCUCACCUAGGGUCAAUUGGCGGCGGUUAGGACGUCAGAGAGGGCUCGGUGAAGGCGGAACGCCGUGGGGACGAGGAGCGGGUCGUGGCGGCGGUCCUUAAGGUGUUCCGGUGCUAGUAGUGCUCCGGGAGGGCAAUGGGCAGCUCGGGGACGUGCGCGGUGGGGCAGCGGAGCGAGCGGAGGUCUCGGUGAGGUACGGGACGGCACGGAGGUGGGGCUCCAUGGGAGACCCGAGUGGCAGCCCAAGGAAAACAGGGGAGCGGCGGUGCUAGAGCUAGCGGAGAGCGGUGUAGGCGGCACCAUAAGUCCUUUUAUAGGGCUAGGGGGAGCGGCGGGUCAAGGCGGGGCUCCGAGCGUGGGAAGAUAAGAUCGGAGGGGCGCUGUGGGCUGCGGGUCGAAGCUCCAUUGGCGGCGGCGCCAUUGGUCGGGGUGCGGAGGCUGUGGGAUAGGAUCCCUCGGUCAUUGGCCUUGAGGGAUUCGAAGCGUGCAUGUAACAACCCUAGGUCAGCUAAACUCUGUUUAAGCUUAAAUGAAGCAAUUAACAGCUGAUUAAACAAGUCAAGGGUCAACUUUGGCCCCUGAGAGCUUAAAAAUGUGAUUAAGUCAUAAGUUAAAUUUUUAUAUAACAGCCUGAAAUUUUAUCCAACUAAGAGUUGUUAAACUCAUCAUUUCUAACAACUUUUAUUAUAAGCAUUUUGUUUGAAAUUGAGCAGAAGAGAUCCAAAAACUCAGUUUAAAAUCAGUGGCUUUUCAAAUCACUCAAAAUCCUAAGUGCUGAAAGGCAUGAAAAAGUCUUAACUUUGGGGCUCUUUAUUUCAAAAUUUCUAAUAUUAAAUCAAGCUGAUCUCUAUACACAAGUUUUAGAACUUCAAGUGCUUAAUAACUUUGAUUUUUGGAGCUAGGCCAAAAUCUGCACAAAAGGUUUUCAAAAUUUAGGUCAAACACAGCCAGUUUGGUCAACACCGUCACACUCUGAAAAUCGUUCUAAGUCUGAAGUUUUCAGUUUUUGCCAAACAUUGAUGCAUUUUAUCUCCAAAACCGUUUGGAUUUUGAACAACAACUUUAUGAAUAAAGUAAACUAGGGUGCUAGGCCUACAAGUUUUGUAAAGGGAGGUAGGGGCGAGCAGUUCAAAAAUUGGGAGUAAAUCAAGCCCCAAGACCGGUCCUCCAGCGUUUUCUGCGUUCCCGCCUAGCGUCAAAGAACGCGCGCGCCAGAGCCCGCACCUCGCCCGCCGCGUGGCUCCACCUCACCGGCGAGCCCCCGUCACCCAACCCGCGGCUGUGAGCUGACCCGACGAGCGCCGCCUCGCCUAAUAGCCUUGCUUGUCACGACAGCCUCGACGCGCGCCUGCAGCCAGUCGCACGCCCAAUCGCCUGGCCCUCUGCUACGGGUGCACGACCCCGCACGCGCCGCAGACCGUCACCGCCACUUCGCCCAACGCCCUCCCGCGACAAGAUGCCACAGGAGCCGAGCCUCACCAAUGCGCCUCCCUAACACCCUGCUCGUCCGCGCACGCGAGCUCUUGCCCUAUCCUGCCGCACCGCCCGUCGGCGGCAAUGGCCGCCACCGAGCCUCGCCAAUGCGCCUCCCUAACAGCCCCCCUCGUCUGCGCACGCGAGCUCCUACCCUAUCCUGCCGCACCGCCCGUCGGCGCCAAUGGUUGUCGCCAUGGCCGGUCCACCCGGCAGCACGCGCCUCGCCCGACUCUUCGGCCCCAGCUGCAGACGCGUGCCUCGCCGCGGCUAUAAAACGCCCGCCAGCCUGCCCGUACUCCCUUUUGCAGCUCCCCGCACCCGCACUGCCGGAACGCCCACCUGAGCACGCCGCUGCCUAAGCUCCUCCAUGGAGAGCUAGCCUCCGCCGUGCGCCACCCCUCACCGGUGCCCCUAGCCGCUUCGUCGCCACCUCGCGGAGCUGCUGCGCUCGCCCAUCUCCGCCGCCCGGACCCAGCCCCGCCGGAACACCGACGCCACUGCCCGCCGUCGCAGCCGAGCAAGCCGUCUCCGCGUGCCGCUGCCGUCGGACCUCCCCGCCGCCCGCAACCGCCUCAAAUCGGUCGCAGGUGAGCCCCUGCGCCUCCCCGACCUCUUGUCGCCCCGAUCCCGCUGGCGAAUCGCCGGAAUUCCAACCGGCCACCGCCGCCCGCCCACCGAGGACUCGAUUGCAUUUGAAAAAUGCGAAUUCGGGGUCUCUGUGAAGUUUUGUUAGGACCUAUGGGUGAUUAGUUGAAAACCCAAGGGCCCAACCGUAAGUCUACCCGAGAAAACCCGCGCGAGGACCUGUUUGUGUAUAGCGAGGGCCUGGUUGUGAAAUCCAAAAGUUUCUGAGGGCCUGGUUGCAAAUACGUUUCGGUUUAUAUUUUUAUAUCGGCAAAAUAUAUGUUUAACUUUGAAAAUUCACCAAAAUUCGUAGAAAAUUCAGAAAAAAGUCAAACCAAUUUUGCUAGACUUUGUAUAAAGAGUGGUUUUUAAUAAAAAAUACUUUUGGCACAUGUCUCUGUUAGAAUUAAAUUUAUAUGAUUUAAUCCUUAUUUAAGCUAUUUAAAUCAUAACAAAUCACAGAAAAAUGCUAAAAAGGGUAAAUCCAUUUCACAAGUGGUUGUUUCAGAUAGUAGAAGAUUGAAAAAAUAAUUUUGGAGCCCAUCUCAGAUGUUUAAAUCUCUGUUUUAGUUUUAUCAUGUGUAUCUAAGGUUGCUUUCAUCUUUUGCAUAAUAAUUAAACCAGAGAUGAUAGAACCUAAUCAGAAGCAUCAGAAAAACCACCUUACUUUUUAGGGAGGAAUAAAUAAGGUAAAUGUAUAGAAAAAGAUGCCCUUCAUUAAAAAUUGUGAGAAAUUCACUAGAGGCUCUAUUUCACCCCUGGAACCUACUGUUAAAAUUUCAUGAUCAGUUUCAUCUUGGUUUAUGUUUUAAUUAUGUUUAAGUAUAUGCUACCUUAGGGUAAUUGAGUAAUGCUAAUUCUUUUCAUGCACCUCCAAUGGACCUCAAACUUAUGCAGUAUCUUAUCCUUGCCAAAGUUAAGUUACUAGUAAAUUUUCAGCUUCAUAGCUUGCUGUUAAAGAUUGAAAUAAAAUUGCAAGAUGAGCCUAGCUAAAUGAAACAAAGAAACCUUAAUUAAUGAUAAAGGUAUUUUUUAGGAGAGGUACAAAAGAACAUUCAGAAAUAGGAUAACUUUUUGAUCUAAAGUUUAAUCAAGAUAGUGCAUAUAUGUACACAAUCACCAUCAAAUCAACCCCAGGCUUGUACCACACCCCACCUUCCGCGUGUAGAUAAAGAAGGUGUAAAACCUUGUUCAGGUGAAUGUGGCCCUAAUAUAACUACUUCUUCAUUACUAACUCGUGUUUUACAUCCUAUGAAAAAGUUUGGAAAUUUAACUUGAUGCAUUGCAUUUCGUGUAGAGCUGAACCUCGCUGACAGAACUUACGAGCUUCACCCGGCGCCAGAAGAAGGAGCCAUAGCGGAUCUGCAGCAAGUCGGAGCCGAGCCCGUAUCGGAACAAGCCGAGGACCAGUUCGCUAACUCCCCGUGUGAAGGCAAGCCCCGGAGCAUGAAUUCUAUCUUUAAAUACCCGCAAUACAAUUGAUUGCUUUGAUUGCGCAUUUACGUUCUAGGAGUUGAUUGACACCGUAGAUGCAUGAAUUUAGUACCCUUGAUAUGAACACUAGUAUAUUAAGUCAAGUAGUUGCAAUACUUAAUAGGACUCGGUAAAAGACAAGUGAUUUCCUAUCACUCGCGAGUUAUAGGAGUUGAUUACUUUACUUAUGUUGCAACUAUAAGGACGAUGGACGGGGAUGGGCUUAUGUUUGGUACUCGGUGAUUUGCCCCGUUUGUCUACAUGAAAUUAGACUAAGGUCGAGAUGUGAUAGUGUUCGUGAUCAAGUGUUUGAAAGUACUAAUCUCAUACCUAGUAUGGGAUGGGGAAGCCUAGUACCUGAUUGAACCGGGACGUGAGCGGAUCGUUCCACUAUCUCUGGAAACUGAGUUUUCCCCUGGUGCAUCAUGUGGUGACAAGUGUGGUCAUAGAACGGCAGAGGCCUGGUUUAUAGAGCCUUGUACCAAGGGAAGUGGGCCCGACACGGGUUUGGGAAUUGAUGGGGGCGGCUGACAAAUGAAGUGACCCUUCACGGUGCGCGGAUGUCAUAGGAUUAGGUUCACCAUACAUGGUUAAGAAAUUUGAAUCGAUUCGUCAGCCUCUCACAGUUUGGGAGUACUUGAUCGCUAUGCUACACUGAGUAAGAAUGAAAGAUGGUGAUGACCUAAUAUGGUUACUUGCUAUUAAUUAUUUGGAAACUAUGCUUGUUUAGUAUAGUUGCUAACUUAUAUUGGUAAAUGAACAAAGAACUUGUGGCUAAAAUAUUGAAAGUAAGCACCUACAUUAGUCGCUUUUGGCAAAAACAAACCCUAGAGCCAAAAGGCUUGCAUGUCUAGGUGUUGGUGGAGUAGUACCACCGGUCGGUUAAGUCUUGUUGAGCGUAGUCACUCAGCCUUGUUGUGGCAUAUCUCUUUUCAGGUGAUGUUGAUACCUCUGAGUUCGCUGCAAGUGGCACUUGGCCUACCCAACUUGCUCCAGGUUGGACGGUCGAGUGGGAUCCCUCCUCGGACAGCAAGGAUAAGGAUCAUUGAUGUCAUGACCGGCUUCUUCAUGAAGAUCAUGCAACAACUUCUAGCUUUCGCUUAUUUAUUUCCGCUGCUUGAAAACUCUGCAAACUCGUUGAAUUUCGAAACUCAUGUUGUAAUAAUUCAAUGCACUUUGUUAAAUCUGGAUGGACUGUUGUAAUCUCUGUAACCACUCACCAUCGUGUGAGUCUUGCUUUAUCGAUCCUGAGUUAAGUGGUUUAUCGAAUGAAAUCCGACGGACGACCAAGUUAACUUGUUUAAAGUACAUGAUCGCGUGUUAGGUGACUUAAGUGUGCUUUAGCCAUGUUAAUUUGGGCGGUUCCUCCACAGCGCAAGCGCGGCUUUGCCACGGCCGUGGGUUGCGGAGCGAGGCACUCGUGCGGUCACUGUCCGGGCAUCGAUAGGCGGACGGAGCUUGGCCGGUCCGAGGCGGUGGUGUGGCAUCCAAAUUUUAUUGCUAUCGGACUCCCCGUCCGCCAUAGCUCAUGACACAACUGCCGGACACUUCCAAAGUCCAACACACGCCAUAAAAACCAUCCAUCUCCAAGUGCUAGUUAUGUGACCAAGCCAUAACUCGUCCAAUGCCGUGGACACAGCUACCCGGAUAGGUUUUAACUCUGCAGAGGUUGUACACUUUUCCCACAAGUAGGGUACCGCAGUACGAUCACCUUAGUGCCGGUGUGGAUCCUAACAAAGCCAUUACCCAUCUUAGCUAAGACUGACUAGUCCACACGGAAGCAACCAAGGGGUUAACGACAUACCAACGAGGUUGUAACCGGGACCUAAGCCACAAAGAUCUUACUCCUUUUCCAUGGGUUGUCGUUGCUCACCAGCUCACCCGAAGACUAACAGUUUAGCUAGUGGGAUUUAUGCUAAGCCGUUGCCGCAUACAACGGAGUGGUUGCACGAAGGUUAGGUUAGGCAAGAUGACACAUUAACUCGGUCCUUAACCAUGACAAGAUGGAUAUCUCCCAACCUUGCUCAACCACCAAGGUACGAGCGCAACAUAUUGGCAUUUCACACCUGAAACACCCAUCCAUCUCAUCUAAGCAUUUCUUUCCUUUACUUCCAAAAAACCCAAUUUCCCUUUUUAAAACACUCACACAUUUAUUCUUUAACAAAACACAUUUUGGUCAUGAUUGAAUUGAGUAACAAGGUCCUAAGCAUACUAGCAGUAAUUAUCAUCCAAACAGAGCAAGUCUUAUUUAGAGAUAGUUAUAGGACAAGCAAGGAACAAUCAUAACAAUCAAGGGGUGGCUAUCCAACCAUGUUUCAGCGGUAAAAUAAUAUGCAAUUUAUAAAUUAGGCCAAUAGGUUGUGUUUGAAAAACUAGAAUAAAUAUGCAUCAAAGGGUGAGAUUGGACUUGCCAUUCUGAAAGCCUUCCGGGAGUUCCUGCUCGUGGUACUGGUCCUCGGGCUCGGCCUCGCAGUCAAACUCCUCCUCAUGCUCCUCCUCGGGUACUCCACGAUCUAAGCACACACAAUCGAGCACACAAUAAAUAAAAGAGAAUUAAAGUUUUUCCCAUUGAGCUACGAAUAGAGAAUGCGAACGGAAAGUUGAAGGAGUGAGCAUUUUCAUGAAAUUUGGAUAUGCCUCGGUGGAAGUAUAUGGGAGGAGGCCAUGAUCGAAUUUGGGAUCAAUUGGAGUAAGUUUGGCGCAUGAAAUGAUGAGUUAAAGGAGUGUUAGGGGCUUAAAUCAAGGUUUAGGACUAAACUGCGAGAACCAGGGACCUAUUUGUAAUAAUUUCUGAAAGGUGGAAGGGCGUAUCCGUGAGAUUUCUUUGAGAGAGGUGGGAGGGCUGGUUUGCAAAUAGGGGAAACUAGGGGGUUAGAUCCAAAUGGAGGCCUUCUUCUUCCUUGGGCCGAGACAGAGAGAUUGGAGGGGAGGGAAACCGGUGGAGAGGCCGGCUGGCCGGGCCUCGCCGGCGGCAAGCCGAGUAGUGGGGGAGGUAGAGGGGGAUGAGGGGGUCCCAUUUGAGGUUUCACCUUGGGCGGAUGGUGGCCGGAGAUGGGGCGCCGGCGGCGGGCAAAGCAGGCGGCGGCGGAGCUCCUGGUGGCAGCGCACAGGGCGGUGGGGAAGGGGGCGACGAGCUGGGAGGGUGACGCUGGUGGUGUGGGGAGGUGGCAAGGGCUCAGCCCCCUUUUUAUAGGCGGCGGGGAGGAGCUCGAUGCCCGGCGGCCUUCAAUGGUGGCCGAGAAUCCCGGCCGGUGGCGUGCCAGAGCGGAGCUCCACGUGGACGGCGUGGCGGGGCUGGCUCGGUCGACGAGGAGCACAGGGGGCACACAGGGGCGGUGGCCGGCGUGGCGUGCGGCCGGUGCUCGUUGGGCGGGGCCGGCCAGGCGCAGGCGGCGGCGUGUGGCUCGGCGCGCGAGGCCGGGCGCGGGCAACCCGGCGCGGGCGCGGGGCCGGACUAGGCGCAGACGCGGGGCCGGCAUGGGCCAAGCGCAGGAGCCGGGGCCGGGUGAGCGGCGCCAGGCGCCAGACGCCAGGGGGGCGGCACUAAGGUGAGGAGAGGAAAGAUAGGAGGAGGAAGGAAGAAGAAGGAAGAAGGAAAGGGAAGGAAGGGAAAAAAGAAAAGGGGGAAAAGGAAAAGGAAAAAGGGAAAUCGGCGAAAGUUGCGGAAUUGGUCGGGCACGCGCGACGGAUUUGACGGGCACGCGGCUAAAUUUGCGGGAAACGGAAAAAGAUGACUGUCGACGUUGGGUGCCGGGAUGGCGGGUCGCCGGGAAGGAAAAGAUUUUUUGGGAGCUCAAUGGUCGAAAGAUUUUGAAACAAAUUUUUUAGCGGGUGAUUUGAGUUAGUAAAUUUUACGGGCGUUACAAUAGGCCAUACACACGAGGCACAUCAAAAACCCUCUGAUUCUCUCCAGCACAUAGCACAUGCUUUAAGCCCCCCGUCACUCUCUUCCACUCGGACCAGAGCACGACCGAGUCUCGGACACCCCCUUCUCAUCCCUAACUCGUUUGUACCCCAACUACAAACUUGGAGCACCUGGGCUCAGGAAUACAGUCAACCAACCAACCUCAAAUUGAACGUAGGUCAUGUAGCCUGAACCAGUAUAAAUCCUAUAUCAUUGUGUGCUAGGCCAUUCCGAUCUAACGCACGGCAAAACUACUAACAUUUACUUGUCGGCCAGAUUCCACCCCGACAGCACUCAUCUCCAAACUUAACCCAUUUGAUUGUUCCUCUUUGCUUCCAUUAGNNNNNNNNNNNNNNNNNNNNNNNNNNNNNNNNNNNNNNNNNNNNNNNNNNNNNNNNNNNNNNNNNNNNNNNNNNNNNNNNNNNNNNNNNNNNNNNNNNNNNNNNNNNNNNNNNNNNNNNNNNNNNNNNNNNNNNNNNNNNNNNNNNNNNNNNNNNNNNNNNNNNNNNNNNNNNNNNNNNNNNNNNNNNNNNNNNNNNNNNNNNNNNNNNNNNNNNNNNNNNNNNNNNNNNNNNNNNNNNNNNNNNNNNNNNNNNNNNNNNNNNNNNNNNNNNNNNNNNNNNNNNNNNNNNNNNNNNNNNNNNNNNNNNNNNNNNNNNNNNNCCCAAUCUUCUCCAGAUCACCUUUCCUCCCGAGCCAGUUAACAAUAGAACCAUAUGUCACCACAGUUGGCAAGAAUCCUUUCGUGUCCACAUCGCCCAACAAAAGCAAUGCCUUCCCAAUGUCCCCGCGCCGGCACAUUGUAGAACACGGCGUGCGGAAUGCACUCAGCUCCCCACCUCGCCUCAAUCAGCUUCAUCCCCUCCUCCACCCGCCCUUCCAAGCACAUCCCUCUGACCAUCACGCAGGUGCUGUAGUUAUCCGCGCCGCCCUCCUCCGCAAGCAUUUCGUCAUAGAGCUUCCGGGCAUCCACCCAUCGCAGGCGCUCCACGAGAAGCCUGAGCAGGCGGUUGCAGUGCCUCGCCUCCGGGAGCGUGCUGUGCAUCUCCCUGGCGCGAGCGCACGUCUCGGCGGCCUUCCCUUCCAUCCCGGCGUCCGCGGGAGCGGGGUGAUGCGGGGCAGGAGCGGCGGCCGCGGCGCGAGGUGUGGGAGCGUUUAGAGAAAAAGGAAAGAAAGAAAGAAGAAUGGCUAGUUCAGUUGCUCGGUCCACAUUGGAACUGCUGCUUCUUCUCCUUGGUAGUGCUUCUGCUAACUUUCCAAAAAAAAAAAUACAGUUCAUAGAUUACAGUGUGAUUCACUGAAAAUAAAAGUUCGCACGGACAAAUGAGAGCAUUGUAGCCAUGAAGGAACGAAUUUACAUAUCAAGUGCUUCUGUUAACUUUCAAAAAAAAUACAUUUCACAAAUUACAGUGUGAUUGACUGAAAAUAGAAGUUCUCACGGACAAAUGAGAGCAUUGUAGCAAUGGAGGACGGAACGAAGGUAUCACCUAUGCUUUAACAGUCUGUAUGAACAUGAGCAGCAUAUUUUCGGUUACAAUGUACUCUGCGGGAAGCCAUCUCCGAUGGGGUGUCCGGCGUCCCCGAACUUCUCCAGGAUCCAGCGUCCAUCGGAACCGGAGAUAUGGACAACGCUGAUUGAGGUGUUAGGAAUUUUCCUGCCAACCGAGAUCGUUGGAUCGGCGUGCCUGCAGAUUUCCUCUAUGACUGCCUCAUGGGAGACGACGACCACCCGCUCACC
rnacentral:lncRNA from 1 species